CACGUAUUGGAAAAUUUAGUUCCUUAAUUCAACUAUCACUAGAUCAAAACAAUCUUACCGGUACAAUUGAAGAAUGGGUCGGAAAUAUGACAAAACUAGAACGUUUGAAUCUCCAAUCAAACAGCUUUGUCGGGAUAAUUCCACCUUCCAUUGGCCAACUUAUACGGUUGAAAUAUUUAUUUCUUGAUGAAAAUCAAUUCACUGGGUUUAUACCACCUAGCUUUGGAAACCUUAAAUCAUUGUUGCAGCUGCACCUUAGCUACAACAAUUUCAAAGGGGGCGUACCAUAGAGUUUUUGGAAAUCUUAUGAAUCUCAUACAUUUGGACCUUAGUAAUAACAAUCUACAAGGUGGGAUACCCUAGGAGAUUGGUAACCAAAAACAACUUGACAUCCUCCUCCUGUCAUCAAAUAAACGAACUGGAGAAUUUCCAGCUACUUUAGGCCAAUAUCCAGUCUUCACUAACCAUCAAAUGGACCUUGCAUGGAAACACUAAAUCAUUCCCAUAACAACUUGUCAGGUCACAACCCUUUGGCUCUAAGUGAUCUACAGUUUCUUAGUGUGCUAGACCUUUCAUAUAAUCAUCUCGAAGAAGUACCAAGAAAGGGAGUAUUUGAAAAUGCUAUAGCUGUUUAUCUUGACAGCAAUUGUGGACUUUGUGGAGGAGCAAAGGAUCUCCAUAUGCCUUUGUGCCAUAUUGAUUCACCAAGAACAGAGAAUCGGUACUAUUUGGUCAAAGCAUUGAUACCACUGUUUUCCUUCAUGUCAACCCUACUGUUGAUUUACUUCAGAAGAAGGGAUCAAGAAGGGCAUAUUUAUGGCUGCCAACCUUUGGGAAAAAAAUUCCCUAAUGUUUCUUACAGGAGUCUAGCUCAGGACACAGGGAACUUCUCUGAGUCUAACUUGAUUGGAUAUGGAGGCUGCAGUUUAGUCUAUAAAGGGAGGUUAGUCCAAGUUAAAAUGGAGGUGGCUAUCAAGAUUCUUGACACUGAAGAGCAAGAUGCGGAGAAAAGCUUUCUAGUAGAGUGUGAACUUCGGAGAAGUAUUCGCCACCGAAAUAUUCUACCUCUCAUAACCACAUGCUCCACAAUUGACAAUAAAGGCAAUACCUUCAAAGCUCUAAUUUAUGAAUUUAUGCCUAAUGGAAACAUGGACACUUGGCUGCAUUAUCAAGGGGACGGCAGAACUCCAGAAUGUUUAGGCUUAUCUCAAAGAAUAAAUACAGCUAUUAACAUAGCCGAUGCAUUGGCCUACUUACACAAUGACACUGGAAGGCCCAUUGUCCAUUGUGAUUUAAAGCCUAGUAAUAUCCUGCUAGAUGUUCAUAUGAAUGCUUACUUGGGUGAUUUUGGCGUCGCAAGGUUACAUAUUGAUUCUAAGUUGAGAUCAGUUGGCGAUUCAAGCUCAGCCUGUUCAACGAGUGCAAAAGGAACUAUAGGGUAUAUGGCUCUAGGUAGAACUUUAUCCUUCUAGGAUUUUUACAAAUUAUAUUAACAUGAACCAUAUUUUGCAAGUUGUUAUGCACUGAUUAUCACUUUUAUGUCUAUGAUUAGAGUAUGCAGGAGCUGGUAAUACAUCAACUUUUGGAGAUGUUUAUAGUUUUGUAAUAGUACUUCUUGAGAUGCUGACAGGCAAAAGACCAACAGAUCACAUGUUCAGGAAUGACUCACCAUUAUUAGCUUUGUGUGGAAAGGUACUUUCCCAAUCAGAUACUAGAUGUUGUCGAUACUCAUUUGCUAGAAGAAUCCAAGGCGUUCAUCGAAGCAACUGCGGCGACAGAAAAUCUUAAGAUCUUCCUGUGCUUGUUGUCUUUGCUACGAGUAGCACUUAUUUGUACACGCCAAAACCCAAGAGAACGAAUUAACAUGAGAGAAGUAGCAGCCAGAUUAAGUGCAAUCAAGAUGUCAUACGUGGGACUGUGGGAGGAAGAGUUAAGGGCUAAACUUCGUUCAAGAGACUCAUAAGUUGGGCUUCUCACAGGAGUUGAAGGAAGAAAGAAAAUGGUAAAAGUUUAAGCUUCUCGAUACAAUAGGGACUCUGCUUGUAGAACCAAAUUUGAAGAUUUUUGAAUGCUUUAGUGAAUUGAUUGAGUUAUACAAAAACAGCUUCAUUGGUCAAAUUCCUAUUUCUCUUGGCAAGCUCAUUAGCUUGCGCACUCUAUCCCUUGGGAGAAACAACCCUAGCUUGAAGCAAACGACAACCAAAGCUGGGAAUUCUUUGAUGCGUUGAAAAAUUGUAGCCUUCUACAAUAUCUCAUUCUAGGCAACAACCGACUAUAGGGAGUUAGAACACCUUCGGUUGGUAGCCUAACCACCAAUCUUAUAGUAUUACAAUUAAAUUGGAACAACCUUUCGGGAAUAGUUUCGCCAAGAAUACGAAACCUUUCCGGUUUAAUUCAACUAGGAUUAAGCUACAACAAUUUUACUGAACAAAUGAAUAAUGGAUUGGAGGAACUCUUAAACAUAUCUAGCUAUAUCCAUUGGAACAACUUUGAUGGGCCAAUUAUUCUCUACGACGUAUUACUCAGUUAGAAAGACUCUUACUACCAGAAAGUGAAUUUGAUGGUUCAAUACCACGUAUAGCUUAGGAGACCCUCAACAACUUUCCUGGUUGGGCCUUAGUAAUAACAAUCUUCAAGGAAACAUACCUCCCCAGCUUGGCAGCCUUAAAAAACUCACUGAUCUUCAUCUUCAAUCAAGCAAACCCACUAGGCCCCAUAGACUGCCAAGUGAGCUUCUGUCCCGUGAUCUUUUUUCCAGAAACUCCUUUAUGUCUGUGUUCUGUUGGUUAUCAGACUGCUUUGCUGAUGUUGCUUCUCCAUACAAAUCAUAUAUUCAUAUCCAAGAGGAAAUAUCAAAAAUGGAGUAUUUGCAUAUGCGACAGCGCUGUUUCACUAGAUAGCUAUUUAGGACUCUGUGGAGGAGUUACUAAUCAUCUGAAUAUGCUCUCAUGUCCAGCGGUUUCCCAGAGAAUACAAAGCCGAUAUUUUUCUAAUAAGAGUACUGAUCCAAGUAUUUGGCUUCAUGUCAAUUAUGUUGUUGAUCUGUACAUUGACGGACAAGAAGGUUCCAAGUAAAAUAUAUUUAUUGUUGCAGCAUUCAUUUGGCAAGUAGUUCCUACAAAGAUCUAGCUCAAGAGACAGCAAACUUUUUUCUGGAUCGAACCUACUUAGGAGAGGAAGCUAUGGCUCUGCGAUUGCUAUCUCUAGUGCAGAUCGCUCUUUCUUGCACUCGUGUAUUCCCAAGAGAAACAAUAUUGAACAUGAGAGAAGUUGCCAGUAAGUUGCAAUCAAUCAGAAUGACAUACGUGGGAUCGACCAAGAGAAAACAAGUCCUGAUUCAUAUUUAGUAGAGUAUUUUACAAUGUGACAGGAAUAUUCUGUAGGCAGUUUAGGUUCUCUUUGAAUGCAAUGGGCACAAAGUUGGUAAUUCAGCCUAUGAUUUCGCAUGUUAAAAAAGAACAAGAUACCCUGCUACUGCUAAGCUGCAGCCUGUUGGUGGUGAAUGAUGAACAGUGUCCAAUACCAUCAUAUUAAGAUUUGGCUUUUGAGCAUUUGGAAAAUUGGAUUUGAUAAAGUAUCAGUAAGUUGACAAAGUAUUCAGAUCGCUUCUAUGGUAGCGUGUGACUGUAACACUGAGUGGUGUUUUAAACCGACGUUACAUGGAUACGUCAGGGAGGUGCCGUAUCCUGUAUUGUAUACGUAUCCAUAUCGGAUACGGCCAGGAUACGUGAUGGAUAAAUAUAGUAAAUGUUGAUACGUGGGCCCACACGUAUCGGGCUGAUUUUGCGAUACGGCCUAGUCCAAAUCCACCUCUUAUCCACACACCUGCUACCUACUCGCUACAGCCCCCACCCCGACAUCCUCACGCAUUGCGCUGCCGGCCCCUCGCUCCCCCGCACGGUGGUCACAUGAGCGCCUCCACCUGCUGGAGGGGGCACCAGGCCGGCGUCCGCCAGAGAAGGACCUCUGCCAGGGGACGCUCCGUAGCUCUGAUUUGCCUGCGAAGAAGCUCUGCAGCUCUGACAACCAAGCUCACGACGGAACUAAUUGCCAAGGCGGCGACAUUCUGUGAGUUUCUUCCUCAUCAGCUUGUUUGGUGGCUCUUCCCUUUCUCGAUCUACAUUUGUUCUUCGGUUCUUGAUAUUUUGCUGCUCAAUUUUCCGAUUCCCUUCCUCAUCCUAAUCUUUCGCCAACAGAUAGCAGCACCAAAUUCGAGCGUGCUAGUUCUACUUUUUCUUUGCCUACCGGCUAACGCUCCUCUUUCAAGCAAUAACGAUAAGAAGAACAAGAGUGGAUCCGACCUGCUUCACCAAUUGACAAAUUUUUAGCAUUGCACCUGGUUAUUGUUGUAAAAUUUGUUAUGCAUUAUUUUUAUAUAUUAAAAAAUUGACUAAAUGUAUCGGCGUAUCGUAUUGUUUGGAAAAAUCACGUAUUUGCGUAUCUGUAUCCGUCCGAUACUUUAUGAUAAAUGGAACGACGCAGCUAAUCGACCGCAAGUCCGCAAUCUAGCUAACAACCGCUCGGAUCCCUAAUCCGAACCUCAAACUACAGUCACUCAAAAAGUUAAGGUCGACGAGAUGCUGUGCAUACCGUUAGUGCGGCCGCUGGUCAGCCGCCUGCUUCGCCGUCCGCCGCUGCCCGCAACUGCGACUGCUCCACGCUCUGUCCCAGACGACGCGCGCCGCCUGCGCUCGCGUAGUGGCCGAUUUCUUCCGCAACGGCGCGGUGCCGCCGCGGUGGGACCGUGGGAACCGCUUCGUCGCUUUGUGACCGGUGAGAUUUUGCCAGUCUGUAGCCGUCGUUGGGCAAGAAGGCCGACGAGGCUUUGUUGGCUGGGCCGUUUUUGUUUUUGGGCCAUGGCACGAUGACCCAGUCCGCUCUUCUUUGGAUCUGUUCAUGUCGUGCACACAACAGGUGGCGAAUCAGUUCCAACCUUUUUGUUAGCCUCUUGCUUGCCUCAAGAUUUCCAGGAAUUAAUUCUGGCCCUGGGAUAUAGUAGAAAAUUGGUGCUUAAUGGUGACGAAAUUUCCAGGAAUUAAGGGAGCUCCUGCUCUCAAUCUCCAAGUUCAAUCACUCGAAACAAACAAGCCAUAGAACAUGCAAGGUUAUUCAGCUUCUGCACAUUACCAUAUACGUACUUAUGAACAAUGUUAUCUGAAUACAACAACGUCAGGAGUGCAACUUCUUGUUAAGUCAAAUAAUAACAUUGAUUACUUCACCACAUGCUAAUGUAGCUUCCAAAACAUCGACAAAAAAAUAGUUAAACAUAGCGCAAUACAAUUGUACUGUAGACACAGCUACAGUCGCAAUACAACAAUGUUUAGUUUGGCUUGCACAGAAUUUUUUUCUUGGACGAACGGGCACACAAAACUGUGCACUAUUUCUAUUAAUAUAGAAGGAGUAACAAACGGGCAGCCAUGGAAGGCUCCCUCUCCCUACAUGCUAAAAAAAUGUACAAGUGUAAAAGACUAAAACUGAACAGAAAAUUUGGAUCUAUACACUUCUAGGAUGGUUUAAAUUCACAAAGUUCUUUCUUCAAAGAAUUUAUCCAGAUGCACAACCUUUAACGGACUAGCACAAUAAAACACGAGGUUGUAUAUUUCCUUAAGACAUGAAAGAACGUGGUGUCAUGAAAGAAUUUGCAUCCUCAAACAGAACAAAUGAUGCAUGGAUGUAACUCAUCCUCAGAUCUAGUGUCGCUCAAAUUGAUUGGGGAGGUGGUGACUACGCUUUCGGGCUGCGGCUAACCCUGCUACCCCAUUGGACGAUGCGCUGGCUCCAGAAUGCAAACCAUUAUUGGUGAUACAGUGGUUUCCGUGUGAGCUUUUUUUUUCGGAGCCCUUAUGAACAUGUAGGUGAGGGAAUCAAAGGACGUAGCACAUAGGGGUCGCUCAUGGUUUUGGCGUCGUGUCCGGCGGCCAAAUACAUUCCGUUGCGUGACCACCCUGCGCGAGACGACACUGCACAAGCGGACGCGGCGGCCUCAUGACUCAUGCGUGCAAUGAUCGUUGCACCUCGUUCCCUUGCCGUCGGGAUGCGUGUGAUGAUCGUGACUACGGUUUCUCGCAUACUUCCUCCGUUUCAAAAUGUAGAUUUUUAAUUUUUUUAAGUACAUAGAUUUUACUAUAUAUCUAGACAUUACCGUAUAUUUAAGUGCACAGUAAAAUUUAUGAAAUUAGAAAAAAUCAAAACGAUCUACAUUUUGGAACGGAGGGAGUGGAGAUAGAUGCUGCUAUGCUGCCGCAUGUGCGACGAAGCUAGCUUAUGUACACAGUUUACCCUGUAGCAUAGAUCUCUGGUCAGUAGAUAGAUGUUUUGUUCACGAUUCCCUUAAUUACUGCAAGUGGUGCACAAAUUACGACUAGCGCCCAUAAACCUUCAACAAGAUGCAAGCUGUAUCCGGCAUACCAGGGUGGAGAAUGGCCCUUAUACAGUCGUACUGCUGUACAACCACUGAUUUCACAAUUCAGGACUCACGUCCUAUACUCCAAGUGCCUGAUUUUUUCCUUACCUUUUACUUUUAUUCCAGUCGCCAGCAAGUUAACGGCAGCGGCUCUCUGGUGGAACUUGCCGGGUGGUGGCAAGCCUGGCUGUGAGGGCAGGACCGCAGGAAGGCAGGGCUAGGGAUGCGGGGCGGGUUUUUUUGGCCGCGAACCUGCUGGGUGAGCCCGUACCGUGAAUCCACGUAACCCGCGUAAUUGCAGCGGUCCAAGCGGGCAUGCCCGCCGUACUCAACGGCGCCGCAAGCGUCAUUCAUACGAGCGUGAAAAUUCUUAUCUUCUCCUAAUAGUACAACAGGCCGUCCCUAGUCACUGCUUUGACUUUUUAUCAACCAGCGGCUGGUAUGUUGCUUAUAUAUGGAGCCACGGCAACUUAUGUAACUAGAUUUUGUGUUUGUUGAAGAUUUUUUUACCUCACGAUCUUGUAAUAAGUGUGCACAUGAAUUAGCUCGAUCUAGUUUGAGUUGGGACUCGGAUCAGUCAUGUGUUUGGCUUAAUCCCCUACCGGAAUUUGUAAAGUUAUUAGCAGUUCAUAAUUUUCCUGAACCACAGACAAAACGAUUUGUAGUGAUGCCCAUUGUUUAGCGACGGGCGAAAUUACCACCUGCACCUACAAAACGUGGGGAGGAGGAUUACUGUAGCAUCCGCACCGCCCCUGGAGAAACAUUUGCAGGGACGGGUCACGAGGACCCGCCCCUAGAAAUGGGCACUAUUUCCAAGGGUGGGUGAUGCCGAUACGUCGCCAAGAAUUUUUUACAACAAAAAGAAAAAUAAUUUGCAGGGAUGGGUGAUGGCGUCAUCCGUCCCUAAAAAUCUUUUCUAGGAGUAGGUGAUGGUGUCACCCGCCCCUUUCCCAGGGCAGGUGACUGCUAAUGCCUCCUAUAUAAGGCAGUCCGCACCGGGGACUUAGCCAAAAAUUCACAGAAGCGCGCGGGACGUCGUUAGGCUGCCGAAUUUUCACUUCCCUCCCCCGAUCUGCCGCCCCCUCCCCCAUGGGCUCCACCACCGCAGUGCCUCCCCUUCCCCCCGGGCCACCGCGCCACGCCUCCUCCCCUCCCUCACGGCGCCUUCCUGUCGCGGCGCCUCCCCUCCCCGCUGCCUCCACCGCUGGGCCAUAGCGCUGAGCCUCCUCCCCUCCUCCCGUGGUGCCUUCCCAUUGCGGUGCCUCCUCUCCCCGCGUCUCCCCUCCUGUGCCGCCUCCACCACCAUGCCUCCCUUUCCACGGGCUACCGCCAUAGCGCCUCCCUCCCCCGCGCGCCUCCCUUCCCCGCGGUGCCUCCGUCCACGACCGUCAGUUUCUUAAUUUUAUUUUAUUUUCUUUUUAUUUUUUUAUUUUGAUUUUAUUUUAACUAUGAGCCGUACUCUCUCCGUCCCAAAUUACAAGUUAUUUUGGCCUUUUUAGAUUCAUAGACUUUGUUAUGCACUAAGAUAUACACUAUAUCUAGAUGCAUAAUAAUAUCUAUGCAUCUAGAAAAGCCAAAACGACCUAUAAUUUGGGAUGGAGGAAGUAGUACUUAGUGUAAAACAACAAUUACAAAUUUCUUCCAUUAUCUUAGACAAUCUUUUAUCCUUAGCAUUUCGUGAAUUAUGAUGUUUUACGGCGCAAUUAUUAUUAAAGUUGAUGUUUGUGGAAUAAUCUAUCUUAUUACAAUUUUAUUUGGAUAGUUUGUGCUAAGUAUGGCAAAUAGACAUUCUUUUCGCCACGGUGGUGGCGGUCGUGGAAGUGGCAGGGAACACUACAUUUUCGAGGAGCCACCGUUGGUUCGUCCUCCGGGAAUUCACUUCCCUAAUCGCGUCAUUGACUUGCCUACCGACGAUCGAAGUAAAGGAGCAAUUUCCAAUAUAGUAAUUCCUAAUUUUAUUACACAUGCAUAUAGUUCCCAAUAUAGUAAUAUUAUUUCCUUCUUGUAAUUGGUUGUUUUAUUACACAUUAAUAAUUUCUUUUUACUUACAUACAAUAUAGCUUAUGGACCCUAUUAGAUGGCUCAAAGAUGUUGUCGAAGCUCUAGAUGGUACCACUCCUUUAGUGUAAUCCGAGGUUGGUGGUGCAAGUAAUUUUAUAAGACUAAAGAUCUCUUUUGAAGUACCUGUUCGAGGAGGAUAGGCCAACUUGAUGCGACGACCAGGAUAGGCUAUUCCGAUGGUAUCAAUUGUCGCAUGAGGUAAAGAAGCAGCUUGACUUUUGAAAAGCCCGUCGUAAAGGCAUGCCUACAACAACUGGAUAAUGGGUACUUUAUGCCAGGCUUCUUAUAUUUUCGAAUAAAGACGCUCGAGGAGAGAGAAAGCAAUGUGACUAUGACUACUGUGAGGUUUUAUCAGCUGAAUCAACAUGACAUGGUAUGUAAUAUAUCUAUUCAUUCUUACAUCUUUAGUUAUGUUACAUCUCUCAACUUUCAUCACAUUAUUUUUAUUUUUAGGAUAUCUUUGGUCAAAUAUUUGCGGCAAUGAGAUUUCAUACGAUUCUAGCUCAAGUCUUAGAUGUGUUGAAUUAUAGUUACAUCGAUGGAAACUUGAUACGCACUAGAGAUUUUAAGCUCCAGGCUCAUCUCACUUUCUACAGGCCAUAUGAUUUUACCUCUCCAUUGUUCGAGAUUUAUGGUAGUGUAUGUGAUCAUCCAUACGAAGCGAUAGAGAGUGCACUAAUUCAUGCUCUAGUUUAUAUUGAUGAAGUUCUAGGCUUUAAGAUUAGAGACUUAAACUAUAUUUCAUAUCUAUGAAGCGAAGCUAAGUAUGAAAUAUGUAGCAUGCAUGGAUGCUCUACCCUUUUCUUAUGAAUUUGAACUUGUUCUGUCUAAGACCAAAGUAUUUAUGCAUGAACUUGCAUUAUGAGACUGGUUAUAUAUAUUCUGUUGCAUAUACAAUGUUCUGUGAGUGUUGGAUCUGAAUGGGUUGAUACAUGGGAGAAUCACAUUUUAAAAAUUUGGCGCAAAAAUAGUACAAAAUUUUGGCGGGAACGACAUUUCCAGCGGCGGGUGAUACCAUCACCCGCCUAGUUUGUAAGGGCGGUUCAUGACAUCACCCGCCCUUGAAAAUGUCUUUACAGGGUGGAUCUAUUACACGCUCUUGCAAACAGCUACUUUUAACUGCGAAAAGCAGGAACGGAUAGCAUGCCCGCCUUUACAAAUGCUAUUUCAACCAUCCUUGGAAACCGUUUUUUAUAGUGAUAAAUAAAAAAAUAUUUUUUAAAAAAAGUACAAUAGGCCGUCCUAACCCUACGAGCGUCAUGCGUACGAGCGUGAAGCGUCCCUGCCCUCCAAACCCAGUAGCAAUCACUGUGGCUCCUGAGUGCUGCCCCAAGCUUGAAGCUUCGUAUCCGAAAGUUCUCCUUUGGCCGCACUUGGCAUUGUCCUGCGACCCUGUCUCCCAGUCUGGCAGACCGCCACUGCCUGGCUCGAGCACGGUACCACCAUUCAAGUGAAGCAUUAGUGGUCUCCGUUUCAGCCAUUCUCGAGACCAUCCGAACAGUUAAAUUAGGUCAGGCAUAAGAGGAUAUCAAACGCCUUCCUGGAUCGCUGGGCUUCGUGCCGAAGCCAGCUAGCUACACACCUUUGGCAUCGUCGGGGGCUCAUCCCUGCACAAGAUAGUCGUGCCGUUCGAUCACCAUCCCACGUUGGCAGCCUGGCAGGACGCCCGUGAGGCGAUGAGUCGUUACGCGAGCUUAGACAGGUUAAGUAACUAUAGUAACCUUCUACUGCUUUAACUAACUGAUAAUCACUUCGAAGGAAGAAUACCAGAUUCUAUUCACUAGUAGAGAAUUGGCUUUCGAUCCGCCCCCUUUUGUCCCGGUUUAAAGUUGGCCCGGGACAAAAGGGGGUGCGCCACGGUAGGUAAAAUUGGAGGGGAGAUUUACUCCCGGUUGGUAAUUGCAACCGGGACUAAAGGCCCCACUUUAGUCCCAGUUGCAACGGCUAGCUGGGGGGCGUCGGUGGCGGGACCCUUUUAUCUCAGUUGGAGGAUCCAACCGGGAUAAAAGGUGAACCCUUUUAUCCCGGUUGGAGGCACCAACCGGGAUAAAAAGUUUAGUCCCGGUUGGUGCCUCCAACCGUUGGAGCCUCCAACCGGGACUAAACUUCCAACCAGGACAAAAGGUGUUCCUUUUUGUCUCGGUUGGAGUUUUUAACCGAGAUAAAAACUCAUCCCCAUUAUAUACGGCCAAGACAGAGGACUUUCUUCCUCCUCCAGCCCGAGCCAGUCCAGCACAUUGACAGAGAGAGCUGAGCUUCACCUACUCUCCAGUGGUGCCGAAGCAAGCAAGGAAGGUGCUGCCCGAAGUUUUUUCCCUCAUUUUCGUGGGAAUUUCACUUGGCCAACACAAGUGUUGCGAAGGUUUGCUACUUCAUCCUCGUGUUAUGCUUUGAUUUAUGCUUUGGAGAUGGAAAGAUUAUUUGCUAGAAUGUGAUGAUGAAGUAGAAAAAUGGAGAGGUAUUUUGAGCUAGAAUGUGAGGGAGAUUGAUGUGUCAUAUAUAGUAUGCAUUAUUGCAAUGGUUUAAAAAUGAUGCUACCUUGUCUAGACGGUUUAUCUUAUCAAAUUCAAUAUAGUUUUUUAAAUCCAUACUUGUUGAACUUGCAUACCAUGUUCAUUUCUGCUACGAUGUUCUCCGCCGAGCAGCAACGUAUGUCAAGAAGGAGGUUCGAUUCUACAAGAAAGAGUGGAUACGGACAUCGUGACCGUGUCCCCUUUUCCGUAGCAUCUAACCUCUUUCAUGACGAAGUGCGGUGCUGCCCAGCUGAGGACAUCCUCGCGAAAUGAUCACGGUCUUCAAGUUCAACAACUUCUGUAGUGGUAAGGAAAGAAUUUUUGUACAUAGAUGACUUCUGCUACUUGUUGAACUUGCAUACCGUGUUCAUCUCUCCGAGGAUGUUUUCCGCCGAGCAGCAACGUAUGUCAAGAAGGAGGUUCGAUUCUACGAGAAAGAGUGGAUACGGACAUCGUGACCGUGUCCCCUUUUCCGUAGCAUCUAACCUCUUUCAUGACGAUGUUGGGAUACGAGGUAGGCUACACUAGCGUAAAUCAAAAUUUCUACCGCGUAUAACCAGGAAGAACUGCCGUAUAAGGAUCACGGGAUUACCACUCGACGCACUACUGGUGCGGAAGAUGUAGAUAUGCGUCGAUGCAGUGAAGACGAUCACGUAGUCGUACGUAGUCGAUCAACGUAGUCGUACGUAGUCGAUCACGUCACGUCCAGCAGCUCCCACGUGCAGCAAGAUCGCCUCCGGUGCCGCGGCUCAUCGUGGCUCGUCGAUGGCUCGUCCAAGUGCUGCAGGCGCAACACCUCCAAGGUAUCCACACGUGCAGGGAGGAAGCGUCGCAAGCUGGACUGCUAGAUCCGCGAGUUGCAACAGGCGAGGGCGUGGGAGGCGCGGCAGAUGUGUUUCGCCAAAAGGUGUAAACCCUAGGGCGCCCCCACCCCUCUAUUUAUAGAGGUUCCUGACGGGCCUCUGGAUCCGAGGCCCAUUAGUACUUCUAAAACUAAUCCAACUCGGAUCUGAUCCGAAUUGGGCUUCCAGCCCCUUAAGUGUGUGACCCUAUGGGUUCGGAUACGUAUAGACAUGGCCCGAGUACUCCUACUCGGCCCAAUAGUCGGUAGCGGCCUCUAGCAAGACGUGCCAACUCCUACACGCACACGAAGAUCAUAUCAGACGAACCAUCACAACAUAAUAUACAUGCUAUUCCCUUUGCCUCACGAUAUUUGGUCUAGCUUCAAGCCGACCGCUCUUUCUCGAUCCUGUGAUUCGGAAUCCCUUUGUAGGUUAACUCUUAACCGUACGUAGCAUGGCCAUGCAUUUUCGGAUCCGAUCACUCGAGGGCCCCAGAGAUAUCACUCUCAAUCAGAGAGGGGCAAAUCCUAUCUUGACUGACCAUGUCUCAUAGCAUGCUUCUUGACAAACCCGAAAGCUACCUUUAUAACUACCCUGUUACGGCGUAGCAUUUGAUAGCCCCUAAGUAGGUCGAUCCACAUCUAGAAUACAUGCGACAGUCUCAGGUCUAAGGACAAAGCGUAUAUGUUGUUUAAAGAGAGAACUACUUCUCGUGUUGGGUCAGUCCUAGCACAUGUCUCCACAUGUGUCCACAUUAUCAGUUCAACAUCUCCAUGUCCAUGACUUGUGAAACAUAGUCAUCAACUAAUACAUGUGCUAGUCUAAUAUUCAUGUGUGUCCUCACAUGAACUCCGACUAGGGACAACUUUAGAAUAACCAUACAAGUAAAGAGUUUCACAUACAAUUCACAUAAUUGCAAAUCAAUUCAAGUAGCCUUUAAUGGAUAUUCAAUGAACACAAUAUACAAAUCAUGGAUACAAAUGGAAUAUCAUCAUCUCUAUGAUUGCCUCUAGGGCAUACCUCCAACAGUCUCCCACUUGCACUAGAGUCAAUCUAGAAGGUACCUAAUACCCAUAGCUCUUACAUGCGCAUCAUGCUUAGCCUGCGGGAGUGGUUUUGUCAAUGGAUCAGAAAUGUUCAGAUCCGUGUGUAUUUUGCAUAUCUUGAUCUCACCCCGGUUAACGAAGUCUCGAAUGAGAUGAAAUCGCCGCAUUACGUGUUUGUUCUUCUGGUGGUUCCUUGGCUCCUUUGCUUGCGCAAUUGCCCUAUUAUUAUCACAGUAGAGAUUCAAUGGGCUGGACGCAUUCGGGAACACACCAAGCUCAAUGAGGAAAUUCCUUAUCCAAACACCUUCCUUCGCGGCUUCCAAAGCCGCGAUGUACUCGGCUUCUGUCGUAGAAUCGGCCACCGUCUCCUGCUUGGAACUCUUCCAACUAACAGCACCACCAUUUAGCGUGAACACAAAUCCUGAUUGUGACUUUGAAUCAUCUCUGUCGGUUUGGAAACUAGCAUCGGUGUAACCUGUUACAACGAGCUCCUCCUGACCUCCAUAGACGAGGAACAUAUCUUUAGUCCUUCUCAAGUACUUAAGAAUGUUUUUCACCGCUGUCCAGUGACUCUCACCUGGAUCAGAUUGGUGUCUGCUUGUCAUACUUAGCGCAUAUGAAACAUCUGGGCGAGUACUUAUCAUUGCAUACAUGAUAGAUCCAAUAGCCGAGGCAUAUGGCACUCUACUCAUGCUAUCCCGCUCAUCAGCAGUCGAAGGACACUGAGUCUUGCUGAGAUGUAUGCCAUGUGACAUAGGCAAGAACCCUUUCUUUGCCUCUUCCAUGCUGAACCGCUUCAACACUUUGUCAAUAUAAGUAUCUUGGCUCAAACCUAUAAGCCUUCUCGAUCUAUCUCUAUAGAUCUUAAUGCCCAGAAUAUAUGCCGCUUCCCCUAAGUCCUUCAUCGAAAAACUAUUUUUCAGUGAAGUCUUUACGGACUCAAGCAUAGGAAUGUUAUUUCCAAUCAGUAAUAUGUCAUCCACAUAUAAGAUUAGAAAUACUACAGAGCUCCCACUAACCUUCUUGUAAACACAAGACUCUUCUUCGUUCUUGGUGAAGUCAAACCCUUUGACCACUUCAUCAAAACGAAUGUUCCAACUCCUAGAUGCUUACUUCAAUCCAUAAAUGGAUCUCUGAAGCUUGCAUACCUUUCCAGCAUUUUUCGGAUCGAUAAAACCCUCGGGCUGUAUCAUAUACACGUCCUCAGCUAGGUUUCCAUUCAGGAAAGCUGUCUUGACAUCCAUCUGCCAUAUCUCAUAAUCGAAAUAUGCAGCUAUAGCUAGAAUAAUCCAAAUGGACUUAAGCAUCACUACGGGCGAGAAGGUCUCGUCGUAGUCAACUCCUUGAACUUGUCAAAAACCUUUUGCGACAAGUCGUGCUUUAUAGAUGUGAACAUUUCCAUCCAUGUCCUUUUUCUUCUUAUAGAUCCACUUGCACUCUAUGGCUUUAACACCAUCAGGUGGGUCAACCAAGUUCCAAACUUGAUUGUCUCCCAUGGACUCUAUUUCGGAUUGCAUGGCACUCUGCCAUUUUUCGGAGUCUGGGUCCAUCAUUGCUUCUGCAUAUGUCGCAGGCUCAUCAUUGUCCAACAAUAAUAUUUCCCGCAUUUCGCGGAGCCUUGCCGACCUUCAUGGUUGUGGCGGUGCUUCUCUUGCCAUGGGUAUCUCAACUUGUUCUGCUACGUCAGCAUCACUCAUUGGUUCUUGCCCGAUUGGCUCAUCUUGAACUUCUUCAAGAUGCACUGUCUUUCCACUCUUUUCUCCUUUGAGAAACUCUUUCUCUAGGAAAACCCUGUUCCGAGCGACAAACACUUUGCCUUCUGAUCGGUUGUAGAAAUAAUAUCCCAAAGUUUCCUUUGGAUAUCCCACGAAAAUGCACUUAUCCGACUUGGGUGUGAUCUUGUCCGACUGAAGUCGCUUGACAAACACUUCACAUCCCCAAAUCUUUAGAAAAGACAAACUAGGAACCUUUCCAGUCCAUAUCUCAUAUGGUGUCUUAACUACGGAUUUAGAUGGUACCCUAUUAAGUGUGAAAGCUGCUGUUUCUAGAGCGUAUCCCCAAAAUGACAAUGGUAGGUCCGAAUGGCUCAUCAUUGAUCGAACCAUGUCUAACAAAGUUCGAUUACGUCGCUCGGACACACCGUUUCUCUGAGGUGUUCCAGGCGGCGUAAGUUGUGGAACAAUUCCGCAACUCUUUAGAUGAUUGCUAAACUCGUGGCUCAAAUACUCGCCUCCACGAUCAGAUUGUAAGGCCUUAAUUUUCUUGCCACGCUGAUUUUCAACUUCAUUCUGAAAUUCCUUGAACUUUUCAAAGGUUUCAGACUUGUGCCUCAUCAAGUAGACAUAGCCAUAUCUACUAAAAUCAUCAGUGAAAGUUAUGAAGUAUUGGAAUCCUCCUCUAGCCGUCAUGCUCAUUGGUCCGCAUACAUCACUAUGUACGAGUUCCAACAAGUCUACUGCUCUCUCAGGAAAUCCUGUGAAAGGCGUCUUGGUCAUCUUGCCUAGCAAGCAAGCCUCACAUGUCUCGUAUGAUUCAAAAUCAAACGAAGUUAGAAGUCCAUCAGAAUGGAGCUUCUUCAUGCGCUUUUCACUUAUAUGACCCAAACGACAAUGCCACAAGUAGGUAGGACUCAAAUCAUUAGGCCGAGGCCUUUUAGCACUUACAUUACAGACAGGUGAACCAUCAAGAUUUAAAACAAAUAAUCCAUUCACAAUGGGUGCAAAAGCCAUAAACAUAUUAUUCUUAGAGAUCACACAACCAUUGUUUUCACUCGCAAAUGAAUAACCAUCCUUCAUCAAACAUGAAGGAGACAAAAUGUUUCGACUUAAACUAGGAACAAAAUAACAAUUAUUCAACUCCAUAAUAAAUCCUGACGGGAGGUGGAGUUGCAUCGUCCCGACGGUCAACGCAGCAACUCUUGCAUUAUUGCCCACGCGGAAAUCAACUUCUCCUCUUUCCACGCUUCUACUUCUUAUCAUUCCCUGCAUUGAAUUGCAAAUAUGAGCAACCGAUCCGGUAUCAAAUACCCAAGAAUUAAUAACUGUAUCAGUGAGAAAUAUGUUGUCUAUAACAUUAACAACAAGCGUACCUGAGGUAGAAGUACUCUUACUUCCGCCGUUCUUCAACGAAGCUAGGUACUGCUUGCAGUUUCUCUUCCAGUGACCAAGUUCAUGACAGUAAAAGCACUCUUUAUCUGGAGCAGGUCCAGCUUUAGCCUUGGGCGCUGGGUUUGGCUUGGACACUCCAGCCUUGCCCUUCUUCUUCCAAGAAUUGCCCUUCUUCUUAAAGGUAGGCUUGUUCUGUACAGCCAUCACAUGGCUGGUACUAGCGCUUUUCUUAAUGUCUACCUAUGCUGUCUUGAGCAUACCACACAGUUCAUUCAGACCCUUCUCCGUCCCAUGCAUAUGGUAGUUCGAGAUGAAGUUCCCAUAGCUAGGCGGAAGAGAUGAAAGAAUGAAGUCAGUGGCCAAAUCUUUGCCCAUUGGGAAGCCCAGCUUCUCCAAUCGCUGAGUGUAACCAACCAUCUUGAUUACAUGUGGUCCUACUGCUGCGCCUUCUGCUAACUUGCACUCCAGAAAGGCUUUGGACACAUUGAACCUUUCGGUCCUAGCCUGUGUCUGGAACAUGUCCUUGAGCGCCAUGAUCAUAUCGUGUGCCUCAUGAUUUGUUUCGAACUGCAUCUGCAGCUCGGGUUCCAUGCAAGCAAGCAUAAGGCAGCUUACCUCAAGAUUAGCAUCAAAUGCCUUCUUGUAAGCAGCCUUAACGGCAGCAGAUGCAUCAUCAGCAGAUACUGGUGGUAGUGGGGUGUCUAGAACAUCUUCCUUUUUCUCAGCCCUGAGAACAAUUCUUAGGUUAUGGAUCCAAUCCGAGUAGUUUGUUCCAUUCAACUUGUCCUUCUCAAGGACCGAACGCAAAGCAAACGAUGCGGUGGUGUUGCUAGGUGCCAUUUAAUCUACAACAAAAGUAAUGCAAAAUACACUAAGACAAACGUAUCCAUGAUAGAGCAAAUUACAUUAAACUAUUUUAACAGAAUCUACUCCCACUAAAAUCAAUAUCGCUCUAUUGAAACUUAGUGAUUCAGGAUCCACAACUAACAAGUCUACUAGUGAGCUUUAGCAUCACCGCUAGCAAACGAGGUAGAUCGGUAAGCAACUUUUGCUAAUCAUAUCACAUAUGACUCCUGUUGUUGGGUGACAUCUCUAUGUCUCGGCACCCAACCUUUAUGCCCCAAGGUCCUUAACCAUUAAGAUAACCUUGUUAAGCAAACCAACCCUUAUGCGUGUAAGUGUCCGACACAAACCCGUCUAGUCAAGGAAAACUAGUGGCACCCUAAUUUCAUAGACCCACCACUAAUUGUACAAGACAUGGGACGGUGCAAGUUUUAGUUGGGAGGGCAUACUAACUUAAACUUUGUGAGGGAUCGUUCUACUUCUAACAUCACAGCAUGCAGAAAGUAAAACAUAAACAGAAUAGCAUUCACACAGUUGUGACACAGUAUGGCCCGUUUCCAUAUGGUGAUCUCCAUCUCCAUGUUCCAUGUGCGCCAUCCUCCUGGUGAAGAUUCCUCCAAGAACUAGAGCAUGCUAUUACGCCUAAUAGCUAGUAAAGAAUCUAGUAAUGAAGAUUACAUAGUUGCUUGGAUCAUCACAGAUUGGUACGCAGACCAUUAAAUACAUUAAGGUGACAACACAUAUGGCUCAUGCCGUGUUGCCGUAUGCGCGACACGCAGGUCACGAAUGAGUUACACACAUGCAUCACAUACACAAGGGGGCCAUACUGAUCACAAGAUACAUACAUACAUCCUGCAAAACAGAGUUAGACGCCCUAACGUUCCAAACUUCGGAUGCCCGAAACUCCAUCUUCCAAGCCGAAUUUGGGAAAUCUAAUUUCACCAAAAACGACAAAGCGUUGAAUUUCAUGUGUAACUUUUUCUGUAGAUCAAUUUUCGUAUAAAAAUCGCCCCGAUCCGAGAUCGUACCGAAAAGUUACGGCUGAUUUACCGAAGCAUACGCAUACGGCAAAAUCCCAACCUCGGCAGUAGAUCCCAUCUACUAUUGCACAUCUAAUGCGCCUGGCGUAUGACCCUGGAUCUCGAUUCGACCAAUCAUAUUGAUCUUCGCUCACUGCAACUGGAUUUACGUGUAUCACUUAACUCCGAUGGCGGAAACCGACCGGUAGGAGUAUGUCGUUACACUACCAUUGUAGCAAGGGCACGAAACCAGGACAUAGAUCAAACAGAAAACUCGCAUAUCUCCAUAUGCACACAUCCCGAAUCCAAAACUAAGCAGCUACGGCUCUUGAUACCACUGUUGGGAUACAAGGUAGGCUACACUAGCGUAAAUCAAAAUUUCUACCACGUAUAACCAGGAAGAACUGCCGUAUAAGGAUCACGGGAUUACCACUCGACGCACUACUGGUGCGGAAGAUGUAGAUAUGCGUCGAUGCAGUGAAGACGAUCACGUAGUCGUACGUAGUGGAUCAACGUAGUCGAUCACGUCACGUCCAGCAGCUCCCACGUGCAGCAAGAUCGCCUCCGGUGCCGCGGCUCGUCGUCGGCUCGUCAUGGCUCGUCGAUGGCUCAUCCAAGUGCUGCAGGCGCAACACCUCCAAGGUAUCCACACGUGCAGGGAGGAAGCGUCGCAAGUCGGACUGCUAGAUCCGCGAGUUGCAACAGGCGAGGGCGUGGGAGGCGCGGCAGAUGUGUUUCGCCAAAAGGUGUAAACCCUAGGGCGCCCCCACCCCUCUAUUUAUAGAGGUUCCUGACGGGCCUCUGGAUCCGAGGCCCAUUAGUACUUCUAAACCUAAUCCAACUCGGAUCUGAUCCGAAUUGGGCUUCCAGCCCCUUAAGUGUGUGACCCUAUGGGUUCGGAUACGUAUAGACAUGGCCCGAGUACUCCUACUCGGCCCAAUAGUCGGUAGCGGCCUCUAGCAAGACGUGCCAACUCCUACACGCACACGAAGAUCAUAUCAGACGAACCAUCACAACAUAAUAUACAUGCUAUUCCCUUUGCCUCACGAUAUUUGGUCUAGCUUCAAGCCGACCGCUCUUUCUCGAUCCUGUGAUUCGGAAUCCCUUUGUAGGUUAACUCUUAACCGUACGUAGCAUGGCCAUGCAUUUUCGGAUCCGAUCACUCGAGGGCCCCAGAGAUAUCACUCUCAAUCAGAGAGGGGCAAAUCCCAUCUUGACUGACCAUGUCUCAUAGCAUGCUUCUUGACAAACCCGAAAGCUACCUUUAUAACUACCCUGUUACGGCGUAGCGUUUGAUAGCCCCUAAGUAGGUCGAUCCACAUCUAGAAUACAUGCGACAGUCUCAGGUCUAAGGACAAAGUGUAUAUGUUGUUUAAAGAGAGAACUACUUCUCGUGUUGGGUCAGUCCUAGCACAUGUCUCCACAUGUGUCCACAUUAUUAGUUCAACAUCUCCAUGUCCAUGACUUGUGAAACAUAGUCAUCAACUAAUACAUGUGCUAGUCUAAUAUUCAUGUGUGUCCUCACAUGAACUCCGACUAGGGACAACUUUAGAAUAACCAUACAAGUAAAGAGUUUCACAUACAAUUCACAUAAUUGCAAAUCAAUUCAAGUAGCCUUUAAUGGAUAUUCAAUGAACACAAUAUAUAAAUCAUGGAUACAAAUGGAAUAUCAUCAUCUCUAUGAUUGCCUCUAGGGCAUACCUCCAACAGACGAAGUGCGGUGCCGCCCAGUUGAGGACAUCCUCGCGAGAUGAUCACGGUCUUCAAGUUGAACAACUUAUGCAGUGUUAAGAUAAUAAUUUUUGUACAUAGAUGGCUUCUGCUACUGGAGGAAGUGGCGAUGGUGGGGGCGAUCGUGGUUCCUAUUAUGGCAAGGUUCCAAUCAUAGUUGGCCCUCACCAUAAGCCAAAGAAAAAGAGCACGCUAGAAAAAGCAAUGCUUCGUUAUUUGCGGCAACGUCAUGAAGAAGCUGUUGCCGCGGGUCAGGAACCUCCUUUUGGUGGUCGUUAUGCUCCACCCUCAGUCCCGGGUGUUUCACGUCCACUUAGUACUACCGUUUCAGGCGGCACAAAUAAACCUAAGGAUGAGGUGUGGUCAGCGGAACCUUCGUCUUCACCGUCCAAGGAUGCUUAAAGUCCUCCUUGAUAAUAACCAAUGGAUGGCUUGUUGUAUUGUAUCAUGUUGUUUGGGACUUUAAUUUAAAUAUGUGUAUUUGGAUCUUCAUGUUGUUGUAUUGUACCAUGUUGUUUGGAUCUUUAAUCGAUUUUCACGCGUAAUCCAUUGUCAAGUGUAAUCCAUUUUCAUGCGUAAUACGAUGCAGAUGGACCGGCAAUGGAUGUAUAAUGCAGACACGCGGAGCAAGGCGUUUAUUGAUGGCUUGCAUUAUUUUCUCGAAGUGGCAAAAGCGAACAAGCCAGAGAAUGGGUUCGUAUGUUGUCCAUGCUUCCAAUGCAAUAACAGGAAGGAGUAUUCAAAGGAUUCCUGGGGGACUAUUCACAGCCACUUGUUUAAAUACGGUUUUAUGCCUAACUAUUUGGUUUGGACCAAGCACGGUGAACUAGGGGUUGUAGUGGAAGAUGGCGAGGAGGAGGAGGAAGAUCACACCAUUCCGGACUGGGUUGCAGGCCAAGCUUUUGCAGGUACUACAAUGGGCGAGGCUGAUGAAGAUGAGUUUGCGAAAAAUGGCCCUACUGAUGACCUUGGUCAGGUGAUACGAGAUGCAUACAGAGAUUGCGAAACUGAGAAGGAAGCAGCAAAGUUGCAGUGCAUGAUAGAUGAUCACCAAAAAUUGUUGUACCCAGGUUGCCAGCAGGGCCAUAAAAAACUAGGUACGACACUAGAAUUUGUGCAAUGGAAGGCAAAAAAUGGUGUGUCUGAUAAGGCAUUUCAGGGGAUGUUGAACAUUGUCAAGAAGAUUCUCCCCGAGAAUAAUGAAUUACCGUCCACAACAUAUGAAGCUAAACAGAUUAUUUGCCCUCUCGGAUUGGAUGUUCAGAAGAUACACGCAUGCCCUAAUGACUGUAUCCUCUAUCGUGGUGAUGAAUAUGAGAAAUUGGAUGCUUGUCCCGUCUGCGAAGCCCUGCGGUAUAAGAUCAGGCGAGAUGAUCCUGGUGAUGUCGAGGGGCAGUCUCUCAAGAAGAGAGUUCCCGCGAAGGUGAUGUGGUAUUUCCCUAUAAUACCACGCUUGAAGCGCUUGUUCAGGAAAAAGACGAAUGCUAAGUUGAUGCGAUGGCACAAAGAAGACCGUAAGGAAGAUGAGAUGCUGAGACACCCCGCAGAUGGGGCACAGUGGAGAUCAAUUGAUAGAACAUUCCCAGACUUUGAAUGUGAAGCAAGGAACAUAAGGUUUGGUUUAAGCACUGAUGGAUUCAAUCCAUUCGGUGAGUUGAGUAGUGGCCAUAGUACUUGGCCUGUGACCCUUUGUAUGUUCAACCUUCCUCCUUGGCUGUGCAUGAAGCGGAAGUUCAUUAUGAUGCUGGCGCUUAUCCAAGGCCCAAAACAACCCGGCAACGACAUUGACGUGUACCUAAGGCCGUUGGUUGAUGACCUUUUACAGCUCUGGAAGGAAGAAGGUGUACGUGUGUGGGAUGAGGAUAGACAAGAGAUCUUUAAUCUAUGAGCACUGUUGUUCGUAACCAUCAACGAUUGGCCUGCAUUGAGUAACCUUUCAGGACAGACAAAUAAGGAAUAUCGGGCAUGCACCCACUGUUUAGACGACACAGACAGCAUGUACUUGAAGCACUGUAAGAAGGUCGUCUAUAUGGGUCAUCGUCGAUUUCUCCCUGCUCACCACCAGCUGAGAAAGAGCAGGAUGCAUUUCAAAGGGGCGCCAAACCAUCGUAAAAAACCUGCACACCGUAAUGGAAAGCGUGUGUUUGAGAUGAUGAAGGAUGUAAAUGUAGUCUUUGGAAAGGGACUUGGUAGCCAACCUGUUCCGAACGACGAUAACGGACAUGCACCCAUGUGGAAGAAAAAGUCAAUAUUUUGGGAGCUACCUUAUUGGGAAAUCCUAGAGGUUCGCAACGCAAUAGACGUGAUGCACCUGAUGAAGAAUCUUUGCGUGAACGUGCUAGGCUUCAUGGGUGUUUAUGGAACCUCAAAAGAUACAUUGGAAGCACGACAGGACCUGAAAGCCAUGGGGCAACGAGAUGACCUACAUCCGGAAAAGAGAGAUAAUGGACAGCACUACUUACGUCCUGCCAGUUACACUCUCAGCAAGGAAGAGAAGGAUAGCAUGUUUGAAUGCUUGAAUAGUAUGAAGGUCCCGUCUGGGUACUCCUCGAAUAUAAAGGGAAUAAUAAAUAUGAAACAAAAGAAGUUUACAAAUCUCAAGGCUCAUGACUGCCACAUGUUGAUGACCCAGUUGCUUCCGGUUGCACUGAGGGGUGUUCUACCAGAAAAUGUCCGGUUGCCGCUCGUAAAGCUAUGCGCGUUUCUCAAUGCGAUUUUGCAGAAGGCAAUCGAUCCAUCCAAGCUAUCAAAGCUACAGAACGAUGUGGUGCAAUGUCUUGUCAGUUUUGAGUUGUUAUUUCCACCAUCCUUCUUCAAUAUUAUGACGCACUUACUGGUUCACCUAGUAAAAGAGAUUGGUAUUCUCGGACCUGUAUACCUGCACAAUAUGUGGCCUUUCGAGAGGUUCAUGGCAGUCCUAAAAAACUAUGUUCUUAAUCGUGCCCGUCCAGAAGGAAGCAUCGCCAAGGGAUAUGGAACAGAGGAGGUGAUCGAGUUUUGUGUUGAUUUUAUUGAUUCAAUUGACUCGAUUGGGGUUCCAGCUUCACGCCACGAGGGGAGGCUCCAAGGAAUGGGCACCCUUGGAAGGAAAUCAAGUUUGAGCAAUGAUACUGAUUUGUUCGACAAGGCACACUACACUGUUCUACAACAGUCAUCCUUUGUGUCUCAGUAUAUCGAGCAGCACAGGCAGAUGGUAGGUUCCAAAAACCCGACCAAAUCCGAUGCUUGGCUUACCCGUCAUCACAUGGAAACUUUUCCCUCCUGGUUGCGCCAACAACUUAUGGGUAACUCUGAGAUUCACCCACAACUUGCCUGGUUAGCCAGGGGACCUGCUACCACAAUCGUCAAAUUCCAAGGCUAUGAGAUAAAUGGUUACACAUUUUACACGAGAGCCCAGGACCAGAAAAGCAUGAACCAGAAUAGUGGUGUCCGCAUAGAUGCCAUGGACAGAAAUAAUAGCAAGGAGUCGUAUUAUGGUUUCAUACAGGAGAUAUGGGAACUCGAAUACGGACCGCUGUACAUCCCUCUAUUUCUUUGCAAUUGGGUGAAGCUAACUACCGUCACCAAAGAUCAGUACGGAAUGACAAUAGUAGAUCUGAGCAAGACUGGAUACAGUGAUGACCCAUUCGUACUUGCCAAUGAUGUGCAUCAGGUGUUCUAUGUGAAGGACAUGUGCAGCAAACCCAAGAGGAAUCCAGAAGAGACAUGGGAGCCAAAGUGCCACAUAGUUCUUCCAGGUAAAAGAAAAAUCGUGGGAGUCGAGGAUAAAACAGACCAAUCAGAUGAUUAUGAUCAGUUUGAUGGCAUGCCUCCAUUCGCCGUUGAAGUUGAUCCAAGCAUCCUGCUAUCCAAAUAAGAGGCUCCGUACUUACGCCGCGAUCAUGAUCAAGGAACUUUCGUGAAGAAGAAAUUUUACAACAUUGUAUUGUAAUGCGUUAAAUGUACAUGAUCUUUGUGUAUUAAUUGAUACAAUUUGUAAUUUACCCUAUGUAUGAUUUCAUGUCUUCUUAAAUUUCUUAGGUGAAGAUUUUAUAGAUAAACAUGAACAAUGUUAACCACAAACAAACAUGGAUUUUUUUGCGCAUUGAAAUUAUUUAAUUGAAUAAUUUCUUGAUCACAACAAUGCAGUAAAAUAAAUAUUUUAGAGGCUAAAUGAACUGGUAUAGAAUUCAUGAUUAAUUCAUACUUAUUGUCAAUUUACUCGUUAAUUAAAUAUAUUUUUGCAUGUACAAAAUCUGUGAAGGUUUUGUUUUUCAUCCUGAAAUGCAGUGAAAAGAUAAAAUAAAAUCCAUUUCCAAAAAAUAGGCGGGAGAAGAAAAGUAGGAAAAAAGACCUUUUGUCUCGGGUGCUAACAGCAACCGGGACAAAAGGCCCCCCUUUUAUCCCGGUUGCAAACUGCAACCGGGAUAAAAGGGUACUUUUCGUCUCCCGCCCCGACGUACCCUUUUAUCCCGGUUGCCAACUGCAAUCGGGAUAAAAGGCCCCCCCUUUUAUCCCGGUUGGUGGUGGCACCUGGGAUAAAAGGGUACGCUCCCAGCCCUACCUGGCGGGGGCACCCUUUUGUACCGGGUCCCGUCACCAACCGGGAUAAAAGGCAACCGGGAUAAAAGGCCUUUUAUCCCGGUUGGUGACGGGACCCGGGACAAAAGGCCCUUUUGUCCCGGGUGGCAUUACGAACCGGGAUAAAGGGGGGGGGGGUUAAAAGGCACUGUACUCCCUUCUACCCCCCGCCAGUUACACUUAGCCAAAUUUUCGCCUAGUCCCGCGCGUUCUCCGCCGUCGCCGCCCGUCCGCCUCCCUCGCCGGCCGCCGCCGUCGUCGUCCCCCAUUGCACCGUCGACGUCCCCCAUUGCGCCGUCGUCGUCCCCCGGCCGGCCUGCCUCGAUCCCCUCCUCGUCCGUCGACGCGCCCGGCCCCCGGCCGCCUCGUCGCCUCCGGCCACCGGCUCCAUCCUCGUCGCCGGCUGCAUCCUCGUCGCCCCUCGUCGCCCCUCGUCGCCGUCUCGUCGCCGUCCCACCUACGCCACCCGGCCGCCGCCGUCCCGCCGCCCCGGCCGCCGCCCCGCGCGCGAGAGGUCCGCCGCCGCGCCGGCCGGCAGCGCCGGGAGGGUUUUUUUUUUAAGUUAGAAAAUUAAGUUAUAUUUUUAUGAUAGAUUUUUAAUUUUGAUUGUUAAGCUAGAAAAUUAAGUUAUAUUUUUAAGUUAGAUUUUUUAGUUAGUUUGUUAAGUUAGAUUUUUAAGUUAGAAAAUAAAGUUAGAAAUUCGUAGGAUGCACCGCCGUCCCCUCCGCCGUCCUGCCGCCGUGACCGCCGCCGUCCCGCCGCCCGUCACAACCUAGUAGACACCGCCCGUGGUUCCGGGGAACCGUCCCCGCCUCCGCCGUACCGCCGCCGUGAUCGCCGCCCGUCACAACCUAGUAGGCACCGCCCGUGGUUCCGGGGAACCGUCCCCGCCUCCGUCGUACCGCCGCCCUCAGUGCCGCCGUCACAACCUAGGCAGCGCCCGUGGUUCCAGGGAACCAUCCCCGCCUCCGCCGCCCUGAUCGCCGCCGUUACAACCUAGGCACCGCACGUGGAUAUUGUUAGAAAUUCGUAGAAAUUCAUAGAAAUUCGUAGAAAUUCGUCAAAAUUCGUAGAAAUUCGUAGAAAUUCAUAGAAAUUUGUAGAAAUUCAUAGAAAUUUGUAGAAAUUUGUCAAAAUUCGUAGAAAUUCGUAGAAAUUCGUAGAAAUUUGUAUAAAUAUUCCGGACUUUGUAGGAUUCAUGUUAUUUUAUGAUUUCAUUAUAUACAUUAUGAUUCCGGACUUUGUAGGACUUUGUAGAAAUUUGUAGUAAGAUGAUUUCUAUGACUGUCAUGUAUGAUUCCAUGUAUGUUUCCAUCAAUAGUUGAAAUGGCAGACGAUGAGACCGCAAGGUAUAUCAUGGAGCAGAUAAUCGCUGGUGAUGGUAGUGGCGACAACAUUCCACUAUCAUACAUGGAUGAAGAGGGCACCCAGGCGGACAUGUUCCUCAACAUGUCCGCCGAUGGGAAUGAAGAGCAACAGCCGCAGCAACAACUUGCCGUGGUGGAAGGUUCCGGCGAGGUAUAUGUUGGCGCUAGAAAUCGGUCAACCGAAUCCCAGCGACCGACACACGACCCGGGAGAAUCUGCUUAGCUCCUGUUCGGGUGAAUGCCCUGGUGCAGUUCGCGCAGCGUGCCAGCCAAUCUGACCUGUUGAUUGGCAAGGAAGAAUACGUGUCAGGUCCAGAAAUCACGAUCGGCUAAGUUUCCGAUCGAGAGAAUUUAUCAACGAAUCGGCCGAUUUACUGUAGUAAUGAAAUCGGCUAUAAGACAGCCUGAUCUCUGUAGCCUUGUAGACAAGGAAUUACUAAAGUAAUCGAUACAAAGCUAUGAUAACAACACUAGGAACAGAUCUAAUCGGCAAUAGAUGAAUUUAAUAACAGAAUAUAGAAAGAGCCGAAACUACCGAUUCCUAGCUGGAUAACUGGUGAUAAAGACUAGAAAAAUAGGUAAAACCUAUGGAUCUAGCAAAUAUCGAUAACUAGUGAAUAUAUCUAAACGAAACAACAGCGAUACGCCCGAAGUUAAAGCUUAGAUAUUACUCGAUAAACGGAACUUACAGAAUCGGCCGGAGAUCAAGAUGAUGCAGCCCUGCCAACCCGCAUGAACUCGUGAGAAGAGAAAAGUAAUGGCGAAGUCGCCUGCUUGAAAGUAAGUACGAAGAAAAAGUAGCUUGUUGUAUUGAUUGGUUGAUGAUUACAGAUUUACAAAGGUAGCUAUUUAUAGCCCCAUACAGAUAUCUUCUUAACCGACUAGAAUUCUAUCCCUAAUUCAAACAGAAAACGAAUAUCUACAAGCAUGAUUCGUGCUAGGUUAGUUACUCCACGCUUCGUGGGCUGAUUUCCAGCUCACCCUUCUAUUCCAAGCCCAUACAGGCCCAAUUAACCCAUCCUCCUAAUCGGCCGAUUCCUCAUCGGCAAAAGGCUACCGAUUGGGACUCUGGUAUAUUCGACCCGAAACGAGACAGAAGUCACCGGCCGAUCUCACACUGUAGCACCACUUGGCCGAUUCCCAAUUGUGCUCCUCCGAUUCCCUCUCUUCUUGGCGCCGAUUCUACUAGUGACGAAAUCUGGCGUCAACACAUGCCCCCCAGUUUCGGAGUAAAACAUAGUCUUUUACUUCGAAAUUCUUUAUAACCUCCCUUCCGAAACGGCCGCAGUGAAAAUAUCCCUCCGUUUCGCGGUCUUCCAGCUGAUCAUUGCAAUUUUUCGAAACGGGCGCCCACGACAGCCACUACUCCCGAAAAACUCGAAACGCCGGCGCGGUGAAAAUUCCAUUUUUACCCCCCUUCAGGCAUCCUUUAAAUAGCGCUUCACCCGCACCUCAUCUUCAAGCUCACGUCUCUUUUCCCAGUGCGCGCGCCUUCUUCCUCCUUCAGCAUCUUUCCCUUGCCGCCGAAGCUUCCUAGCUCCACCUCCUGUUACUCUUCCCUCUUCUCUUUCAAUGGCGGCUCCUUCCGGCAGCUCUCCCGCAUGCGAUGUCCCAGAGGUAGCGCCUCCGGCGGUGGUAGCGACAGCCGUCGCUCCAUCCACAGAAGAAGGAGCUUCAUCGGAGAUCCCAAUGGCGAUCCCCAUCACGGCCCCGUUGUCCGCAUCCGCACCGGCAACCACGCCGAUCACUCAGAACUUCAUCCCAGAGGUAAAUACCGAAUCCUUCUCCUAUCGGCAAUUAAUUUACCUUAGAUCUGUUUCUUACUUUUUACACCCCCUUUUCCUUUUUUAGGCAGUUAGGCAUCGCAUUACCAUUCACCUUACGGGAAAUCCCGGCCUUAUUUGUCUCGGACCUAUGGGAAACCCAGAUCCAAUAGAGCUUAUUAAUUUGGAAACCCACAGGAUACCCUUCAAACUGUCUAAUAUGGACUUAGAUCAGUGGCUGGGUACUUUUAGAUCUUGGCCGAAUGAAACCCCAGGUUGGAGGGAGUGGUACCAAUGGAUAGCCGCAUCAAAGAGCGUCUCAUGGGAAGAGCUCAAAAUCGGCCAGUGCAUCAACCUUUCCUUAUCCCAGAUGGAGAAAAAUGAGCCGUUAGUAAUGGCGGCUUCUUAUUUUUGGUCUGAUGCACUUAAUGCCUUCUUAUUUGGGCACGGUCCUAUGACCCCAACACUGGCCGAUGUGGUCCUGUUGACCGGCCUCGACAUAUCCUCCCCGGACACACCCUAUCACCUUUUAACCACAACGUCACAUCGGCUGGACACAAGGGGAAUCGGCGGGUGGAAGGGUUUCAUCAAAAGUAAUAAGAGGACCGGGACUGUUGAGAAUAGGGAGCACACAGCUUUCCUGAUGAUGUGGCUAGAAAAGCACUUCUUUUGCGGAAGAGCCGCCGGCCCGACAACCAAUACCCAGGCCUUAGCUGAAGCACUGUCCAAGGGAAACCAUGUCCCUCUUGGGAAACAUCUGCUAGGGGCCGCGUACCACAUGCUACAUCAAAUCGGCAUAAGACUAUCCAAGGGAGAGCCGAUCGGCAAUCAAGGCGGGCCCUGGUGGUUCAUCAACUUGUGGUUGAACCUUUAUAUGAGCAGAAUUACUCAGCAGCCGGUGGAUCGCAUGACGUUCCCCAACAUCGAAUCGGUAGAAGACCCUACCGAACGUCGCCGAUGUAUGUCCUUUGGUGAAGCGGCAUCGGCUUUUCCAGGUUGCAUGUAUUCUGCUACAAAGGUAGCCGAGUACUUUCGAUGCUUCUAUAAUGGCUUUAGUGAAGAUGCAACCAUUUGGUUUCCGUAUUAGCGAGACGACCCGGUCUUUGAACUCCCCACUUGCUUCGAUUCGGCUUCCGGCCGAUUUGAUAUAGAGCUCUAUGAUGAGUUGAUCAAGCCAGGGCUCCUGCCAGCCAAUUUCUUCUCGGGGAAGGAUGCCCCUACGUACGAAUUCUACAACCCCUCCGCUGCAGCACGUCAAUUCGGCAUGGGUCAGCUGCCGAUUCAAGUGUACUUUGCUGGCCGAAUCAAGUUUAGGGAUGAGCUCACAUCUGGUCUGGAUUACAGUUGGUUACGAGACCGAAUCCCGGACUCCAGUACAAUUGACCUGAACGACUGGCUAGUAGCUCCCUUUGCUGUUCAGCCGUUCAAACUCUGGUGGGCCGAUUGGAAGCAAUUUCUUUUCUGCAACUCGGCAUCGGCAUACUGCAACCUUCUGGACCCAGCCAACAUCGACCCGAACGUCGAGGUAUUUCACUUAGCCAAUUUUUAUUCCUCUCAACAUGACUAAGCACUAAUGAUUUUAUUAUCUUUUCAGGCCGAGAAUCGAACUCCUCCAACACACAGCCGCAGCGGACGGCUAAUAGAAAGUCACCCAUACACAACUUAUCCUCUUAUCGGCUAUGACGCUCCGUCUGUUGACGUGAUUGCUGGCCGAUCAAAACAAGUCCAUAAGAGGACUACCAAGAAAACCAUUCGCCGAGUCCGAGCUCGUGUAGAAUCGGCAGAUCCCCCUGUGCUCGUAUCGGCAAAGACCCUGGCCGCACCACCUUCUCAGGUCAUCCAAGAUGCCGAUACCCAAGCCGUUGCGCAAGCUGGAACAGCCGCCGCGUCGUUGUUGUUGGAGGCCAUACAGGUAAACCUGAAUUUUACUGCUUCCGAUUGUUAUUCUGAUAUUAACCCUUCUUAUCCUUAGACUGCACAGAGCACCCCUAUGGAAAUACAACAAUCGGCAGCAACUCAACCAGCCAUCGGCGCGCCCCCGCUUUCAUCCGUUGAGGUAUAGUACUAUUUUACUGAUUUCCUUUGGUAUUUGCAUAAUGUACUUAUUCAAUCCUCUGACACAGGCCAUCGGCACACCAAGCGCUCCUCGACAACCGAUCUCUUCUCAGGGAGCUGGUCCAAGCACCGCGCCGAUUAUUGUGGAAUCUUCUUCAUCCGAUGAACCUAUGGCGCAGGCUCCUGAGCAAGGCGUGACGGCUUCACAAGUGCAGCAUGAGGAAAUUCGCUUCAAAAUGGUAAGUUUUGUUUCGGCUUCUAUCCAGCCGAUUUGCUUUUACUUCCAGCCGAUUUAUUUCUUUUCUUUAUUAUCUCCAGGAACAGGACACCCCCGACAACAGCCUCUUUUCUUUUGCGGUCGCCCUUUCCGACGACGAAGAGGUUGCCUCUCGCCAAGUUGCCUUGAGCUCCGUCCCUGAUGACAUCCGAGCCAAACUUUCCAGCAUCCGAUCCCUCCUUCAAGGGGACAUCGGUCGACUAGUAGAAGAUGCUUCAUCGAUUCGGCAGCUCUUCAAUGACAUCAGCGGACGAGUACCAGAAGAGGCGGAGGAAGCCCUGGCACCAGCGGCCUUCAUCGAGUCUAUGAGGAUCCCAGUCUUCAGGGCUCUUCGUCAUAUGGCCGAUCAUGCCAAGCUUGCCAAGACUCGUGAAGAGGAGGACGCGUUCAAGCGUCAGGCUCAAGAGGCACAUCGGCGCAUCCAUGUUCUGGAAGAUUCUCGCCCGGCGAUCAUCGGUGAGAUAGACCGCCUCAAGCGUCGGAGGGCGGAACUUGCCAAGGAGAUGGAGCAAGUGACUAAAGCAAUCAGUGCCGAAGAGAAAAAACUCCAAGAGCUACCUUCUGUCAUUGCCGAUUUGACACGGGAGAGGCAGCGCUUUGCUCAUGAGGCCCUAAAGCUCCAUUGCAGUACAUCAGAAGUCCCCGGAUCGGCAGAUGAAGACCAACGGGUUCUUGACUCUGCCGAUCAGAUCCGGCGCCGGGCUAUCACAGCUAUCGAUACCCUUCUGGGUAAUCUGUAAAACACUGACCGUUUGUCCGAACAUUUACUAUCUUCUUUGACCGUCCCUCGCGACGCCCUUUCUAUUUAUUACCUUUCUUAUUUCCGAUGGGACGUAGCCUUACCAAAUUUCCACGCAUCUUUUUCCAUAAAUACCGACCUCGGCACUUACUCCCGAUAGUACCAAUUUGGCUUUCGGUUUUACUCUCUCCUUCCUCUUACCGGUGCGACUUUCUGCCAUGGCUUCGUCGGCUUCUUCUUCCUCUGUUAACCAGGUGCAAUCUUGCCCUCUACCUCCCCCUCUUUUUAGAUCCUAGGAAAAGAAUGUCCCUUCUUAUUCCUUCUUUGUUUCAGCCUCAACGUCUUAGCCCUGCGCUCGUGCGCGCCAUUGAGCUCAUUCACUCUGAGGACCCAUUGACGUCGGAGGAUAAGGCGCUGAUCCUGGCCCAUCGUGAGGAACUUCGAGAUCACGUCACUGCGGAGGCUCGUGUGGUCUUGGAUCUCAUGGAGAGUGACAGUAGCCGACGAUCUCCAACCAUCAGGAGCCUUCAUUGUGGCGGCCUUGAAGACGAUGUUGCCACGGCGGCCCGUACGAUUUUGGACUUUAUGGAGAGCAAUGGUAGCCGGCGACCUCCCACCGAUAGGAGCCAUCCGCUUCCUCAGCAAGUCGUUCUCGAAGACGCAGCGGCAGGAACUUCGCGCCCUCCCAUGGAUCGGAGUCAUUUUCUCCCUCGUCAAGUUGAAGCGGAGACUUCAAUGAAGGCAAUAGAAGAAGAAUACCUUCACGUCAUGAGCGAGUUGGAGCGGAACGGGAAGGCGCCCAAGAAGAAGAACAAUUAGUUUUUUGUAUUUUUUGUUCUAAGGGCGACUAAUGUUUUGUCGGCCAUGUAACCCGCCGUCCGUACCGAAUGAAUGCAAUCGGCCGAUCCGGUCGACUAUGUGUUUGAACCGAUUUGUAUUGGCUAUGCGUUUGAACCAAUUUGUAUCGGCUAAGUGUUUGAACCGAUUUGUACCGGUUAUGUGUGGUCGUGUUAUGGUCAAUUUCCUACGCUCCGACCCAUAUACUGGGGUAGUAUCUUUUUAAGUACCUUCCGUUCAGAGCUCUAGUAAAUUCCUCUCCUUCUAUUGUUUCCAAAAUGUAAGCAUUUCCUGGGGCGCAUCUGCCGAUUUUGUACGGCCCUUCCCAUGUAGGGGACCAUUUUCCGAAUUUAGGAUCCUUCGACCCAAUCGGCAAUACUAACUUCCAUACUAAGUCCCCAGGGGAGAAUUGUUUGGCUUUGACCUUUUUAUCGUACCACCUGGCUACCCUCUUUUUAUUUUCUUCAAUGCUUAUCAGAGCCCUCAAUCGUUGGCCAGCCAAAUCGUCAAGUUCCCUUUUCAUAAGUGACGAGUAAUCAUCGGCCGUUAACUGGUCCUGGAGCGAAAUACGCCUUGAUCCCGCCCUUGACUCCCAUGGCAGUACCGCAUCGUGACCGUACACCAAUUGGUAGGGAGAUAACUUGGUAGCCCCAUGACAAGCCAUCCGGUACGCCCAUAAGGCCUCUGUCAAACAUAGAUGCCACUUCUUCGGUUGUUCCUCGACUUUUCUUUUGAUCAAUUUGAUUAUCCCUUUAUUGGAGGAUUCCGCCUGACCAUUGGCUUGGGCGUAGUAUGGAGAAGAAUUUAACAAUUUGAUUCCCAUAUUGGUCGUAAAUUCCUCAAAUUUCCCUGAUGUGAACAUUGUUCCUUGAUCGGUUGUUAUAGUCUGAGGGAUACCGAAUCGGUAAACGAUGUGGUCCCUUACGAAGUCAGCCAUGAUAGCCGAUGUCACGGUUCUCAACGGGAUAGCCUCUACCCAUUUGGUAAAGUAAUCAGUAGCCACCAGAAUAAAUUUGUGCCCUUUGCUUGAUGGUGGGUAAAUUUGGCCAAUAAGGUCUAUUCCCCAUCCCCUGAACGGCCAUGGCUUAAUGAUGGGAUUCAUGGCCGAUGCGGGUGCACGCUGGACAUUUCCAAACUUUUGGCACUCCUGACAGCCCUUAUAAUAUUUGAAACAGUCUUUGAGGAUCGUUGGCCAGUAGUACCCAUUAUUCCUGAUCAUCCACUUCAUCUUAUGCGCCGAUUGGUGUGCUCCACAUACCCCCUCAUGGAUUUCUCCCAUCAGCGUCUUGGCCUCCUCUGUCCCAAGGCAUUUGAGAAGAACUCCGUCGAUCGUUCGGUAGAAUAGGUCAUCUUCGAGCAGCACGUAUUUGGUGGCAUGAAAACGUACUCGUCGCUCCACCUUUUUAGACGGAUCCUUCAGGUAGUCGGCAAUUUCUUUACGCCAGUCAUCGGCCGUGAGCUCUAGAGCCAUAGUGCCUAGAAUUAGCCGAUACCCAGACGCAUGCUGGGCAAGUUUGUUGGCGUCUUCGUUGCGGUCUCUUGGGAUGUGCUCGAUUACUGCCGAUCGGAAUUCUUUUAAAAGCUGUAAGCAAUCUUCGUAAUAAUUUCUUAAUACGUCAUCUUUGCAUUCGGACCUUCCGGUCAGUUGAUCCACAAUAAGCAUAGAAUCUCCGAAGACUUCAACGGAAUCGGCCUUGACUUCUCUCAAUAGUUGUAAGCCUUUUAAUACAGCUCGGUACUCCGCUUGAUUGUUAGUAGCGGCGGUUUCUAUCGGCAGAGAAAAAUCAUAGCUUGCCCCCCGAGGCGAUAUGAGAACGAUGCCGAUUCCUGAUCCGACCCCACAUGAUGACCCGUCAAAAUAUAAUGUCCAAGGUGCCAGCUCUACGAGGGCAAUCUCCGGUCUGCAGUGCUGGGCGACGAAAUCGGUCAUGACUUGACCCUUGACGGCUUUUGCCGAUUCAUACCGCAGGUCAAACUCUGAUAAAGCUAAGAUCCAUUUGCCGAUUCGACCUUUCAAUAUCGGCAGUGAUAGCAUGUAUUUUACUACGUCAUCUUUGCAUACGACUACACAUUCUGCCGACAGUAGAUAGUGCCUGAGUUUGGUGCAUGAGAAGUAAAGACAUAGGCAUAAACGCUCCACCGGAGGAUAUCUUGUUUCAGCAUCCAGAAGUCUUCUACUGACAUAAUAAAUUACCCGCUCCUUGCCUUCAAACUCCUGGACUAGAGCCGAUCCAAUAGCUUUUUCAUCGGCUGAUAAGUAUAGUUUAAACGGCUUACCAGUUUGAGGGGGAACCAACACUGGUGGUGAGACCAAGUAUUGCUUGAUAUCUUCCAAUGCUUUGCGCUGCUCUUCUCCCCAUAUAAAUUCCUGGUCUGGCUUUAGCUUCAGAAGUGGCGUGAACGCCUGAAUCCGUCCAGAUAGAUUAGAUAUAAAUCUUCUGAUGAAAUUCACCUUGCCGAUUAGAGACUGCAGUUCGGUUUUGUUCUGUGGGGCCACGACUUUGUUGAUGGCCGCUAUGGUCUUCCGAUUGAUCUCUAUGCCUCGUUCGUGUACCAUGAAUCCUAAGAACUGUCCGGCGGAUACGCCGAAAGCACAUUUGUUGGGAUUCAUCUUAAGACCAUGUUUUUUGGUACACUCUAGCACUUUUCGCAAAUCGGCCAGAUGUUCUUCGUGACCUUUAGACUUGACCACGACAUCAUCGAUGUAGAUUUCUACCAGAAGGCCAAUGAGUUUGUGAAAUAUGUAAUUCAUAGCUCUCUGAUAUGUAGCGCCAGCGUUCUUCAAGCCGAAAGUCAUCACCACCCACUCGAACAAACCAAGGUGGCCUGGACAUCUGAAGGCCAUUUUGGGUAUAUCCUCUUCGGCCAUAAGUAUUUGAUUGUAUCCGGCGUUUCCGUCCAUGAAGCUAAUGAUUUUAUGCCCCGCGGCCGCGUCGAUCAGUACAUCGGCCGUUGGCAUGGGGUAACCAUCCAUCGGUGUGGCCUGAUUAAGAUUCCUGAAAUCAACGCAAACGCGUAGCUUCCCAUUUUUCUUGUAUACUGGUACGAUGUUAGAAAUCCACUCGGCAUAACGACAUUGCCGAAUAAAUUUUGCUUCGAUUAGCCGAGUUAUUUCAGCUUUUAUGUCUGGUAGAAUUUUAGGAUUGCAACGCCGUGCGGGUUGUUGGUACGGCCGAUACCCUGGUUUUAUGGGUAGCCGAUGUUCAACAAUGGAUCGGUCUAAACCGGGCAUCUCGUGAUACUCCCAAGCAAAACAAUCCUUAAAUUCCUUUAAUAAAUUUGUCAAUUUACACUUGUACUCUGGAUCUAAAUUUGCACUAAUAUAAGUCGGCCUUGGUUUGGUACCAUCGCCUAAAUCUAUCAUUUCCAAUGAAUCGGCCGACGUGAACCCAUGCCCUAGCUUCCCAUCUUCUCAGGCGAACUGAUCCAUCUAUUCUGAAUCUUCGGAGCCGACUGCUCGGAUCGGCUGUAGGCCAAAAUCGGUGACCUUCAGGAAAUCGAUCUCCCAUACUCUACCUGAUAUGCACCUGACGGUUUCGCAACUCCACUGCUGCGUGUCGGCUGCCGCAAUGCUGUAUGCGGAGUCGGCUUUGACCACCUCGAUGUUAUCGCCGACCCAUUGUACGAGGCACUGAUGCAUUGUUGACGGGAUGCAGCAGUUUGCGUGUAUCCAGUCUCGGCCAAGUAGCAUAUUGUAGGAUCCCUUGCCAUUAAUAAUAAAGAAGGUGGUAGGAAGGGUCUUACUGCCGAUGGUGAGGUCGACGCAGAGAGCACCGCGAGCGUUUGAUACCUUGCCCUUGAAGUCCUUGAGCAUCAUGUCUGUCUUGGUCAAGUCGUCGUCGCUUUUCCCAAGUUUCCGGAGUACGGCGUACGGCAUGAUGUUGACUGCAGCUCCUCCGUCUACCAUCAAUCUAGUGAGGGGACGGCCAUCAACAUGCCCCUUAAGGAACAGCGCCUUCAUAUGUUGUCGUUCGUCAUCUUCGGGCUUUUCGAACAUGGCCAUCAUUGGCUCCAGGGCCAACUGCGCUGUCUGUUCUUCUAUCGCCGAUACAUCCUGUUGAUCGGCGGGAGUCAUGAAUUCCAUCGGCAAAAUGAAAACCAUGCCGAUCUCGGCCGCCGAUUCGUCCCCCGCCGACUCGUCGUUCCCUUUAUCAUUUCUUUUGGGGCGCCACACCCGAGGCCUUCCUUCCUUCUUGUCUGUCACGCUUUCUUCUUCUUGCUGUUCCAAUUGGCGGAGACGUUGGAUUCUUUGUUUUUGAGACUUGGUCAAUCCGUCGGGACACCACCUGGGGUUUAUUGGUCUUCCCCUUGACCUGGCGCGUUCCCACUCCGGUUCGCGUCCUAACGGGUUUUCAUCUGUCACCCGAGCAUCGGCCAUCUCUUUGAGCCGGCUGUGAACGCUGGCUUUGUUGUCCGACUGGUCAUGCCGAUCAGUCCUGCCCCUCUGCCUAUCAUGGCGUCUAUCUUCCGAUCGAUCAUAUCGGUCACUUCUGCCCCCCAGCCGAUCACGCACGGGAGGGCGCUGGUCAUCUUGGUUGCGCCAAUUCUUGCUGGUCGGUUCUGGCCUUCCAUCUCUGGAGCGAGACCCUUUGAACGGCCGAUUGCCACGAUAAGGACCGUUGCAUUCUGGGCAAGUAUCGGCUGAAGGUAGCCUGAGGUUGUGUUCCCAACAGUGAAUGAAGAACGGGCAUCUCAAGUGCUCCUCGUGCCGACGCAUUGCUUCUUCUCGGGACCUUGAGCGUUCAUGCUGACGUUGGUACUUCUGGAGCAGGAACUGGGAAGUAAUGCGUGGCCCUUCUGACUCACCAUCGUCGUCCUCUAUCCGCCGCUUCCCCUUGACAUCUUCAGGAGUAGCUUGAUUUCUGGGAUCGACGGCGCCACUCUUUUUGGCUAAUUCGGACGUCAGCACUUUUGUUUGGAGUGAAUUCUUCCCUGUAUCAACCAUGUUGGUAGGAAAGGGGUGUUGGUCAAUCUUCAUUGGCUUGGCCGAUUUUGCCGGCACUUCAAAUUUAAGUCUGCCUUGCUCAAUGGCCGACUGUAUCUGCUGCCUGAAGAUUUUGCACUCGUUGGUAUCAUGGGAUGUGGCAUUGUGCCACUUGCAAUACUUCAUCUUUUUUAGUUGUUCGGCAGAAGGUAUUGUAUGGUACGGCGAGAGUUUAAUCUACCCUUCCUGGAGGAGAAGGUCGAAGAUUUUAUCGGGCCUUAGUUGUGUCAAAACCGAACACUUCCGGAUCCUUUUUGCCGAAUGGGCAUGAUAUCGGCUUCUUCCCUUUGAUCCACUCCGCAAGUCCGACUUCAACAUCUUCCUCAUCCUCUAACUCUUCCAGGAACGCCACUUUCUUUUGGAAAUUCCUCCGCGGAUCAAAAGGACGUACCUCCUGUCCAAACAAUCGGUGAACAAUCUGGCUCAGACUUUCGAACUCUUGUGAAGCGUAUCUUUCUUUGAUGUGGGGCAGAAGGCCUUGAAAAGCUAUAUCGGCCAACUGUGCAUCGGUUAGAGCCAGGGAGUAGCACUUGUUUCUGAUUUCCCGAAACCUCUGUAUGUACGAGGAUAUCGGCUCAUCACUCCUUUGCCUGAGGCUGGUCAAAUCGGACAGCUUCAUCUCAUGCACCCCGGCAUAGAAGUAUUUGUGGAACUGUCUUUCUAAAUCGGCCCAUGUGAUAAUCGAGUUUGGCGGCAAUGUCGUGAACCAUUGAAAGGCUGAACCAGACAGAGAUGACGAGAACAACCGUACCCGUAGGGCGUCUUGCGUAGCUGCUUCUUCGCAUUGGAUGAUGAAUCUAUUCACGUGCUCUACGGUCGAAGUAUCAUCCAUCCCCGAAAAUUUAGUGAAGUCAGGAACUUUAUACCGAUGGGGGAACGGCAAUAGGUCAUAUGUAGAUGGGUAUGGUGUUCUGUAGGUAUAAGUUUGCACUUUUGGCUUCAAGCCGAAUUGUUCUUGCAUCACCUCCGCAAUACGUGCCGACCAAUCUGGCUGUUGCUGGUGAACUGUUGGCUGAGGUAUCGGCACGUGCUGGUAAAUCGGAGGCUGAAUAAACGGAGGCUGAUGAAAAGGUGGUAUCUGAGUGUAAGCCGGCUGUGUAGUAAAGGCUGGCUGUUUGAAUGAGCCACUCGUUUCAUCGUACAGCAUGAUCUCUGCUGUCUUGUUGAUCCCCGGAGCGACAGGCUAGUAUGGCGGCACGGUUGGCCGAAUAGCAGCCUGGAAGGAUGUCUGGAAUGGAGAGUUCACUUGACUGGCCGAUUGAUUCUGACCGGCCGUGACCGAAGGUGCCCCCCAGGGUGAUGGGUGAAUUGGGCUAACUGGAGGGAAUGGCGCAGAGGACAGUUGGAUGGAGCCAUAUCCCAUUGGAGUUGAUGACGAGGAAGCACCUGAACUCCCGACAGAAAACUGGAUCGGCUGCGAGGCCGAAUUCGAACAAUUCUGGUUUGGUGGAAUCGGCUGAAAAUAUGCCGGUCCCCUGUAUCCUUGAGGUAUGCCCCCGGCGAAGGAGUUGACAACAGCGUUGUGCACCAUGUUUGAAAGCACCGGGGACUGGUCAAUGAAAGCGUGAUGAAUAGACUGUUGAAUCAUAUCGGACAUUUUAUCCGAAUCUUCAGAAAUCGUGAUCUGGCGGGGAGCAGGGAAUGGAGUCUUCUUGAUGGUCUCCCCGCUUCUGGAGCGACUGAAAGACUUCAGGCAAGCUUUCUGGAACUGUGCCGUAUACUUGUCCAGCUCUUCCUUCUGGUCGUCCUUCAGAUCUGCUUCCGUCACCUCGAUGACGUUAUCUUCGGAGACUUCAGCAGCUUUCGACAUGAUGGCGGUUGUAUUGGUCCCACCGGGCGUGCCAAAAGUGUGUUGGCGCUAGAAAUCGGUCAACCGAAUCCCAGCGACCGACACACGACCCGGGAGAAUCUGCUUAGCUCCUGUUCGGGUGAAUGCCCUGGUGCAGUUCGCGCGGCGUGCCAGCCAAUCUGACCUGUUGAUUGGCAAGGAAGAAUACGUGUCAGGUCCAGAAAUCACGAUCGGCUAAGUUUCCGAUCGAGAGAGUUUAUCAGCGAAUCGACCGAUUUACUGUAGUAAUGAAAUCGGCUAUAAGACAGCCUGAUCUCUGUAGCCUUGUAGACAGGGAAUUACUAAAGUAAUCGAUACAAAGCUAUGAUAACAACACUAGGAACAGAUCUAAUCGGCAAUAGAUGAAUUUAAUAACAGAAUAUAGAAAGAGCCGAAACUACCGAUUCCUAGCUGGAUAACUAGUGAUAAAGACUAGAAAAACAGGUAAAACCUAUGGAUCUAGCAAAUAUCGAUAACUAGUGAAUAAAUCUAAACGAAACAACAGUGAUACGCCCGAAGUUAAAGCUUAGAUAUUACUCGAUAAACGGAACUUACAGAAUCGGCCGGAGAUCAAGAUGAUGCAGCCCUGCCAACCCGCACGAACUCGUGAGAAGAGAAAAGUAAUGGCGAAGUCGCCUGCUUGAAAGUAAGUACGAAGAAAAAGUAGCUUGUUGUAUUGAUUGGUUGAUGAUUACAGAUUUACAAAGGUAGCUAUUUAUAGCCCCAUACAGAUAUCUUCUUAACCGACUAGAAUUCUAUCCCUAAUUCAAACAGAAAACGAAUAUCUACAAGCACGAUUCGUGCUAGGUUAGUUACUCCACGCUUCGUGGGCUGAUUUCCAGCUCACCCUUCUAUUCCAAGCCCAUACAGGCCCAAUUAACCCAUCCUCCUAAUCGGCCGAUUCCUCAUCGGCAAAAGGCUACCGAUUGGGACUCUGGUAUAUUCGACCCGAAACGAGACAGAAGUCACCGGCCGAUCUCACACUGUAGCACCACUUGGCCGAUUCCCAACUGUGCUCCUCCGAUUCCCUCUCUUCUUGGCGCCGAUUCUACUAGUGACGAAAUCUGGCGUCAACAGUAUAUAUAACCAUUCUUGUAUUGUUUCACGCCACCGUUACUACUACGUCCUAAUUAACGAAUCUUGAACUGUUAGCCCUCCGGAUGGACACAAGGGCAGAAGACCCGAGGUCGUACAAAGGUGAUGGAAGGGAGGCUUGUCAUCACGGAAGUGACAGAAGAGGGCAGGCCGGUUGCUCCCGAGAAAGUAGCAAAGAAGUAUAUGAGUCAGAUCGGGGCAAUCGUCCGGGACAACGUGCCUAUCAGCAUCAGAGAAUGGAAGGGCAGAAGCACUAAUCCGUACGCCCUUCCAGAGACAGAAAAGAAUAUGCUGUGGGAAGACGUGAAGAGACAUUUCACAUUCCCCGAAGGAUAUAGUGAGAAGGAUGUCAAAGCGUGGACGCUUAAGAAGAUGGCUACUCAAUUCCAGACAUUCAAGAAGAUGCUGGAUACCCACUACAUCAAGAAGGGCCGAACUCCAGACUUCAACGCGUGGCCAAAGUUGAGGGACCACUGGGAUGCAUUUGUUGAAUAUAAGAGGAGUGAAGAAGGUGUGAAAAAGAUCACGACCAACACAGCAAAUGCUAGUCAGAAGGGCUACCACCAUCAUUUGGGGCGAGGUGGGUAUGGCUCAGCAAUUCCCAAGUGGAGGAAGAUGGAACAAGAUCUGAUCGAACGGGGAAUCGUACCUGCAACUAUUGAAUGGCCCGAACGAUCAAAAAAUUGGUACUACGCUCAUGGAGGCUCCCUAAGCCAAGAGGAUGGGAUGUUGAAUAUUAAUGACACAAUACGUGAGAAGGCCGAACAUCUCAUGAAGAACAUUGAAGAUUCUAAGGCUGGGAGGUUGAAGGUGGACCGAGAAAAUGAUGAGCUCACAUUGGCCCUCGGUAAUCCAGAGCACCCAGGACGUUGCCGAGGGUUCGGGGUGGUUCCGUGGAAGUUCACUUUCCGAGGCGACAGCACCUCGUACAGAAGCCGGAAGCGAAGAAAGGAACAGAUCGAGGAGAGCUGGCGGCAGAUGCUAGAACAAAGAAUGAUGGAUGAAAUCAAUCGGCGGGUGGCCCACGCAGUUGCGGAGUUGGCCCAAUCUGGAGCAUUGCCGAAUCCUAACACCGCCAGCCCUUCUCAACGCCUCUUGAGCAGUUGUGCUUCUACAGGGGUCCCCGAUGCGCAGACGCCCAGGUUACCCGUGGAGGAGCAACGGUUCCCCGUGGAUGCCAUCACACAACGGACCUCAUGUGAGCUGCAUGCACCGGUAGGCAACCUCACUAUUAAGGUAUACUUAUACAUAAUAUUUAUGCAAUCUUGUCAAUUGAUCCAGGCCUCGAGAUCGGAGUUCAACUUGUUUACUUCUGCUAUAUGUACAGGUAGCGUACGGGAGUGCGUUAGCAACCCUGGCGGGGCAGAGCAGUCAUGGCAUGGAAAUUCCAACAGGCUACGCCAGCGUCUGCGUAGAGCAAAUAGUUGAUCCCCAGUAUGAAGGUCUAGAGCUCGACUUCCCGGGAGGCGACGGGGAAAAGACAUUGGCAGAUGCGCUUCAUGGGAUAAUUCUAUGGAAGAAAUGCUACAUCAUUAUUCCCGGCACGGAGCCAUCUCCUCAGACCUCAAGACCGCUCCCCGUAGAUCCCCAGCAGCGACCUUCUCCUCAUACCUCGAGACCGUCAUCUCCUGCUCCAGGACCGUCCCUUCCAUCUAUAUCAAGGUCUCCAUCUCCACCACAUCCUAGUGCUGGGAGCGACGACGACAAUAACAACACCCCUCCCCGAUCACCGUCGCCGGCACCAAGAGCGGCCCCCUUGAAGGAACAUGCACCACCACUAAAGAAGUCACGAGCACCGCCUCCCAAGCAAAGACAGAGAAAGAAGAAAACAAAGGAGCCUGAAGUGACUCGUAAGGAACGCUUUGAGGCAAUGUAUCAUGCAGAACAGUGGGCAGAAAUCCAACGAGAGGCCAGUGAGUGGUUCAAGAAACAAGCCGAAGAAAAAAAGGCAAGGGAGAUGGAGCCACCGCCAGUAAGUCGGCGAGAUUUAAACUUUUUUAUCAGGAUGGAAGAAGGAGCCAAGAAAAGGAUACCACUCUUGUCAAACUAUGAACGGGCUCUAGUAAAGGCUGAUGAAAAGGAUAAAAGGAAAGGAAAGUCAUCUUCCAGCGGUCCAGUCCCCGACCUCAGCCAUUUAUCAAAAAAAGAUGCUCAACAGGUAAAAGCAAUGCCCUUGGAUCAACAAGCAAAUGUAUUGAAGUUCAUGGAAGAAACAGGUCUGGGACUUGAUGAAUGCAUAGGGCAAGUUGAGACGCCAACUGCACCGCCCCCUGAGCCGAAGUGGCCUUAUGAGCUAGGAAAACCUCUAGUAAAGCCUUCAUUGGUACGGAAGCUAUCAACAAAGAUGUACGCAUUCCAUCAAUGGUACAUGAUGGCAUCCGUCGACUCGAGGGAGAUGAUCGGCAUGAAGGUAAAACCGAUAGAUUUUCACGGUGAAGGGGAGAAAGUGAUGUGGCUAGACUUCAAGGAUAUAUACGAAGUGUACCAUCAUGAUGCCCUGGACGUCUCUCUGAUCAGCGCUUGGAUUCUGUAAGUGUCCGUUUAUCUCUACAUGUAAAUUUUGGCGUACAUCACCGUACUAACUUCAUCUUCCAUUUCAUGUAGGAUGCUAAUUCAGACAUGCCGCCGAGAGGCGUACCUACAUAUAGGCUUCAUGGAUCCAUCUGUAGUUAACCAACAACAGAUACAAUUAGCGCCGGAAAAAACCUUUGCGGAAAUAUACAAUUUCCUAGACAAACAAACAUUCAAGGAUUUCAUACUACUUUCAUACAACUUCAAGUAAGUGUGUGUAUACCGUCUACUUUCGAUGUCUUUUUCCUUAUCUCUACAUGUUAGUUAGCUCUAAUAUGCAUGAACAUUUUACGCACGCAGCUUCCACUGGAUCCUUAUUAUAAUUGAGCCUGAAAGAAGCCACGUCACUGUCUUCGAUUCGUUAAGGAAAGAUCCGGUGGACUACCAAGAAUUGCAAAACAUGCUAGGCUUGUAAUAAUUCUGGACCUUUAUCUCUAUGCAAAAAUUUAUUUCCUAAAUUUUAUCCCUGUUACACUAUAUCAUUCAUUAUUCUAAUCCGCAGCGCAUGGAAACAAUUCAUAAGGACACACAAAGGUCCAUUCAAAGAAAAACUUACAUGGAACACAGACUUCCCGGUACGUAUGCAGUCUGCACAUUUAUUACAUUGUAUAACACGAAUAUUUCAUAACUUAUUUUUUUCCGCACUGAAGUGCUUAAGACAGGAACCCGGGAAUAAUCUAUGUGGCUACUACAUCUGUGAGCACAUGCACAGUUUUAUGGGACCCAAGGGACCGAAGAUGACGCCGCACAACUUUAAAGUACGUAAAAUAAAACUAUUACUAGUUAAUUAUUUUCUAGCUCCUUAUAUGUAUUUGUUCAUGUAACAUUCACAAAUUUCCAAAUUAUAGAUGUUAAAUAUUCAACAAGGACUCUUGAAGGAAGAAAGAGUAGCGGCAAUAUGUGAAGGUCUCAUUGGAUUCAUAAUGGACGAGGUGGUAAAUCCAAAAGGAGAAUUUUAUUAUGAUGGACGACAAUUAGACACUCCGAUCAGCAACACCACGACGGGAAGAUUGUAGGAAGAUACUUUGAUUUAUUUGUAUAUAUAAUACGCGCUAAUUAUGAUCGAUUUGUACUAAGCUAGUUGAAUUGUGUAUAUGAAUUGUGUAUAAGGAUUGUGUAUAUAUAUAGUAAUUGUAUAAUUACAAAUCCCAUUCGUUUAAAUACUAGUUGAUUUCGUUCUAAAAAAAUCUCAACUACUAAAGGUUAACAAAUUAAAAGGGCCGCGGUACUACGUAUACGUGAUGCAUGCAUGAAAAAUUCAGGCGUCACGGCAGUGCCAUGCAAGCGUCAUUUAGUCCCGGUUGGAAUCCAGCCGGGACUAAAGGGUAACCCUUUAGUCCCGGUUGGUGACACCAACCGGGACUAAAGGGGGACCUUUACUCCCAGUUAAAAGACCCAGGACUAAAGACCCCCCCUUUUGUCCCGGUUGGUUUAUCCCGGAUGGAUUUUCGAGAGAUAUGUACCCUACCAACCGGAACUAAAGGCCAAUAUUGGUAAGCUUUCAAACAACCUUCAAGUGCUAGGGUUAGGACAAACAACUUGUCAGGGAUAAUUCCCACCAGCUUUGGGAACCUUACUGGCUUAACAAAACUUUAACUUAGUUACAACAAUCUCAAUGGUCCAAUCUUAGAGUGGGUUGGAAAUAUGAAGGAUCUUGGAGCUAUAGUUCUUGAUGCAAAUAACUUCACUGGUUUGAUUCCGUCUUCUAUGAGUAAUCUUACAAAAUUGACUCUGCUCUCUCUUACAAAAUGAAUUCGAAGGUCCAAUAUCACCAUGUCUGGGAAGUCUGCCACUUCUUACAUAUUUGAACCUUAGUUAUAACAAUCUGCAGGGUAACAUUCCUAAGGAAAUAUUCCAUCCCGAGUCCUCAAUAACCACAUGCGUGUUAUCCUACAAUAAGUUAGAAGGUCCAAUUCCUCCAGAGAUUUCUAAUCUUUGACGACUGACGGAACUAUAUCUUUCAUCCAAUAAGCUUAGUGGGGAAAUUCCUUCAACCCUAGGAAAUUGCAAAGAGUUACAGAUCAUUGAAAUAGAUUGUAACUAUCUCCAGGGGAGCAUUCCGUUGACUUUUAAUGGUCUAAAGAGCAUGACCUUGCUAAAUCUUUGACACAACAAUUUGUCAGGCUUCAUCCCAACAAAACUGGGUGACUUACCAGCUGCAACAAAUUCCUCACCCAGCUGGAUCUAUCUUACAAUAAUCUGCAAGGCGAAGUACCCACAAAUGGAGUAUUUGGAAACGCCAAAUUUUUCUCACUUCUUGGCAACUAGGGACUUUCUGGAGGAGUGCGGGAUCUACAUAUGUGCCCAUGUGCUACAGUCAUGGAGCAAAGAAACACGAUACUACUACCUGAUCAGGUUACUCAUCCCGGCAUUUGGAAUCAUGUCACCCAUAAUGUUGAUCUAUGCUGUAAUCCCACAGAAAAAGAAGUCAACAACAAGGUACUCAUUGUUAUUUUAUUUUGGUAAGAAAUUCCCUAUAGUUUCUUACAAGGAUCUAGCUCAAGCUACAGAAAACUUCUCAGAGUUCAACCUGAUUGGGAGGGGUAGCUAUGGUUCAGUGUACAGAGGAAAGUUAACUCAAGCUAAAAUGCAAGUGGCUAUCAAGGUUUUUGAUCUUGAGAUGAGAUUUGCAUACAAAAGCUUUGUAUCAGAAUAAGAGGUCGGGUGGGCCGCAGCCCACUCUAAGAUUUGGUCCAAAGAACCCAACGUAAGAAAUCGGUGCUCGAUAGCCUAAGAGGGGGAGGGGUGAAUUAGGCAACUUAAAACCUUAACAUGUGGCUUCAACUACAAAGCAUCAAAAAAUAGACUAAAUCAUGCUAUGCAGAUAUGCAUCUAUGGUUGAUCUAGUGAAAACUUCCCACCCACGAAGAGUUUUACAACUUAGAGCCAAUCCUAUCAAGAUAUUACUCUAGAAUAUAAGAAAUGCAAAAAUGUAUAAAAGUGGGUUAGGAACGAUGCAAACUCGGGACGACGAUUUAUUCCGUAGUAUCGAUAGGAAAAUGACACCUCUAGUCCACUAGAGCUCCACCGAGGAUACGCUCCUGGACACCAAAUCUCUCUCGAUCAAGGUCUUGGACCCACCACAAAGGCUCUCACCAAGCCAGAUGAGAAGCUUGCCAUGAAGGAAAGCUAACCACUCCCUCUCUUCCAUUCACCAUGGCGCCGUCUUUACUACAUAGCUUCUCUAUGAAGGAAGGGUUCUCCCCGUCCCCCGCACACGAUCGUUGUUAUUGAUCCACAUCAAGCUGGAGAGUCGAAGACUUGCCAGCGAGCCACCAAAGGCCCGAGGCGCCAGCACACCAAGCUUACAAUGGUGGUUCACUCCUUGAACCAAUCACAAGGUAGCAACACCUUGAACUCACUCUCUCUAGAUGUAUCCUAGCACUAAUCACUCUCGAAGCAUGUGCUAAACCUUGUAUUAUCACUUUUUGCACUUUUGGUGGGAUGGAUGUGUUCUUGAUGAGUCUUGAUCUUGAAUGAACUCUUGGACACUACAGCAAUUUCAAAUGGGCGAGUAGAGGGGGUAUAAAUAGCCCAUGGACCUCAAAGACCCAUUGAUCCAACGACUAGUAAAAUCUGUGAGCAUCGGAUGAUCCCAUGGUCACUUUAGAUAGGCAUCGGAUCAUCCGGUGCCCCUUGCUAAUGCAUAUAGCCGUUGGACCCCCUGCCCAAAAUUACUCCGAUGCUUCAUCCAAUGGGCAUCGGAAUAUCCGAUGCUGAGGACUUUUUCACCUAAAACCUUCUGGAUGAUUUCAAAGUAAAUAUGUUUAGUCCGAUGCCUCCAACUUCUGACCAUCGGAACAUCCGGUACUAUAGGAUUUUCUCCAUCUUCUUUGCGCAUUGUUCCGACGCUUGUAAAAAGAACCUCGUCAUAUCAUUCGGUGCUUACUGCAACUCAAGCUGAUUUCUCAAUUGUACUAAUUGCUUAGAUGGUUGCUCUAGUGGACCGUCGGAUCAUCCGGUGCUUCAUAUUUUUCUGAGUUGAAUAUCGCAAUUUGCACACAAAAAUACCAUCACUUGGAUUUCUAUCAUUUAAACACUUUGAAUACCAUAGAAUGAUCCAGAUAUUUAUGAAUUGGACACUUGAAUAUCAUGAUUUGGACCUUUUGCCAUGAUUUAGUUUGCAUUCUUAGGAUCCAGAAAAUCUAAGGUACAUGCUAGUCAAAGCAUUAGUUUGUCACUCAGUCAUUAAAAUCACAAAUUAUAACCUAAUAGGACCAUGUUCCUUGCAAUCCAGCUCCUAGAUUUUCCCAUCCGCUGAGACGCUGACAGAGCCAGCCACGAAGCCAGCACCCACGACUCAUGGUAAUCAUGGUAAUAAAAAGGAUCAAGUUAAUGAUUUGAUCUAGUGGCUUGUCAAAUUUUUUGCAUUGUUGGACCACUCUAACUUGAAAUCCUAGAAAUUCUCACUAAAAUCAGAAACAUCAAAUAUUAAUCGUGCAAACUCUAAUAAUUAUAAUCAUUGAUCUAUAAUAUUUUAUAAAAGGUUACCUACCAAACAUAUUCUAAAAUAAACCCUAACCCUAUAUCUAAAUUAUCGAGCUCUGCAAUUAUAAAAAACUAAUCUAAAGUAACCUCCAUAAUCUUCGUCCAAUUUAUUUAUACAUAUCAUUAUAAAGUAUAACUUCAAAUGUUACUCUAAAUUUGUAUCUAAGUUACCCACGUCUAAAUUUGUAUCUAAGUUACCCACGUAUGUUCUUAUUAAAAUAAUCUAAAGUAAACACCUAAAUCUUAAUCUAAUUAUCUUCAUGUGUGUCAUUCAAAAAAGUCCAAAAGUAAACAUUAUGAGUGUUAUUAUUAAUAUAGAAAUACUAAGUUAAGGUAUAUACGCAUGAUGAGUGUCACCAUGUAGACAAUCUGUACAUGUAUGUGGAGAUGUGAUACAAAAUGAAAAAAAAGUGUGAAUGUGGAUAAAAAAUAUAUAGAGUAAUUAAUAAUUAAAAAUAAUCAUAAGACAUAAGUAUACAUAUCAAACGCCUGUCUCGAUCGCUUGGCUUCGUGCCGAAACCAGCUAGCUAAACAGUAAACACCUUUGCCGUCGGGGCUGGCUCCACAAGGUGGCAGUUGUCAGUUGUGCUGUUCGAUCUCCAUCCCACGCUGGCAGGUAGGACACCCGUGAGGCGAUGAAUCGUGACGCGAGCUUCGACGGGCCGCUAGCUUCGACGUACGAGUACAGCGAGCAGUGGCUGGAAUUUUGCAAUUCCUUCGGUUGGGUUGGGUGGUUUUGUGCGGGAUCGGCAAUGGUGACAACUGGACGAGCUGUUUGUGUUGGCUUUGUGCAAACUGCUCUCAAGUACAUUACAUUCAUCUUCUAAUGAUCAAUUUACUGAGUUUGCUGUCGAAGAUGGGCUAACUACUUGGUGAUGCAAUCACAACGCAUGCAAAAGAUGUGUUUCAACUUGCACAGCCACCACCUUGCUGAUGGUGAUUUAGCUAAGUUUCAACUUGAAAUUUCAAACUUCCGAAAAAAAUGCAGCAAGAUCGUAUCUAUGACGCUUGACUCUUUGCAGAAUACUUACAGUUAUCUGGUCCUCAAUUGGAAUAAAUUUUGUUUGCAUAAAAAGUAAAGUGCCACAUUUUCACCUUCAUAGAACUAAUUGUCUCACUAGAUAUUUCUCCAAUUAAUAAUCAACAUUGUACGAGACCCCUACGAAGCACGGCAUUGUAUAGACUAUUCUUGUCGAGAUCGGAUACAUAAAAGUUGACUUGACGCGCUACCCGUUCAAAGAUAACCCAUGAACGAAUCAUGGCCACACGAUACAUUCUGGAAGCGCGAUCAUUACAAAGAUCCAAAUCGGAUUUGAAAACGAAAAUCCAGCGCCGGUAGACCAUUCCACGAGCUGAAUUUUAUCGUCAUCGAAACCGCACUAGACAUGUAGCACGCAUCAGCCCGGAAUAUCUCUGUCCAUUUCCUGCAGAAAAGUACCCUGCGAUUCGAGGCUGGACACGCCGCAACAAUCUUGUCCAGCUCAGACAGUGACGGCCGCACUGUUGAGAAGAUCGAAGCUGUGAAGUGGCGAUAACCGGCGAGUUUGACGGACUCGGGGUCUUCGCUCCAACGCCGUCAAGCUAAGAUAAGAUAUGAUGAUGAUGCAAGUGUGUGGAUUGUAAUACCGCUGUAAGACUGUUUUUAAACCCCUGGGGCCUGAGACAGUUGUGCAUCCAACUUAAGCACUAGUGGUCUCCGUUUCAGCCAUUCCUGAGACCAUCCAAACAGUUAGGUCAGGCAUAAGAGGACAUCAAACGCCUGCCUGGAUCGCUUGGCUCCAUGCCGAAACCAGCUAGCUAAACAGUAAACACCUUUGGCGUCGUCGAUCGGGGGCUCACCCCUGCACAAAUACGGCAGUGCUGUUCGAUCUCCAUCCCACGCUGGCCGGACGCCCGUGAGGCGAUGAGUCGUGUCGAAAGCUUCGUGGAUCGGGCCGCUAGCUCCAGUUUUUCAGACGAGUGGCACGCUCACGUGUGCACGUACGAGUACAGCGAGCAGCGGCUGGAAUUUUGCAAUUCCUUCGGUUGGGUUGGGUGGUUUUGUGCGGGAUCGGCAAUGGCGACAACUGGAUGAGAGCGGUUUAUGUUGGCUUUGUGGGAACUGCUCUCAAGUGCAUUACAUUCAUCUUCUAAAGUAGCUAACCCAUCUUUGUGCUGGCUAAUUUUCAAGUACUUCACAGCCAACCACCUUGCUGAUGGUGAUUUCGCAGAGUUUGAACUUGAAAUUUCAAACUUGGAAAAAAAUACACGAAGAUCAUAUAUAUGAUUGUUUCCAGAAUAUCAUGCAGUUAUCUCGUCCUCAAAUGAACCAUUUUUUACAAAAAAGGACUUUAUCCUACAAUUACUACCAACUUAAAAAAAGGACUUCAUGUUACUAUUAUUAAUUGGAGGGUGGACACUCUAGAAAAACAAAGAAAUCUUAGAAAUUCUCACAAAAAGUCAAAAUAUCUAGCCAUCAAUCAGUAUGCUCAAAUCAUCAUAGCCAUUGGAUCUAUUUAUGUUUUCUAAAAAAUUACCCAUGUAUGCCAUUAUGAAAAUAGCCUAAAGUAACCCCCUAAAUCCAUGUAUAAAUUACCCACCUCUUCCAUCAUAUAAAAUAAACUAAAUAACCCCCUAAGCUUCAUUUAAAUUACCCACUUAUACCAUUAUAAACAAUGUUUCAAAUAACCCCCUAAAUUUUCAACUAAAUUGCCCACCACUAAUACUUAAAAAAUAACUUAGAGUAACCCUUAAAUUUGCAUGUAUAUUACUCACAUAUGACAUUAUUAAAAAUAACAUGAGGUAACCCUACUUUUGAAUCCAAAUCACCUUAAUUAAAAAUAUAUACCAAAUAUAUGAUUCUAAAUCAUUUAUUUCUUACACUUUGGUAUAUGAUAUAAUAAUUAAGGUAACCCUACUUUCGAAUCCAAAUCACCUUAAUUGAAAUAUAUACCAAUAUAUGAUUCUAACUCAUUUAGUUUUUAUGCUAUUGAUAUAUGAUAUAAUAAUUAAGGUAUAUACAUGUGAUGUGUGUGACCAUUUAUGAAGAUAUAGAGGAAAUGAUGAGAAUAUAGAUUUAUAUGUUAAAUUUGCAACUAAAUUUCCCACCACUAAUAGUGAAAAAAUAACUUAAAAAUAAAUUAAAGUGACCCCUUAAAUUUGCAUCUAUAUUACCCACAUAUGUCAUUAUUAAAAAAUAACAUGAGGUAACCCUACUUUUGAAUCCAAAUCACCUUAAUUACAAAUAUAUACUAAUAUAUGAUUCUAAAUUAUUUAUUUUUUACACUAUUGAUAUAUGAUAUAAUAAUUAAGGUAUAUACGCAUGAUGUGUGUCACCAUUUAUAUAAAUAUAGAGGAAGUGAUGACAACUUAUGGUCGGUAUGUGUCAUCGGUACGCGGUUGAGUUAACAUUAUGGCUUAAACUUAUGAUCCAUAGAUAAAUUCAAGCACAUACCGACGAUGCAAAUUGAAAAGUUAAUAAUUAUAAAUGUGGAUGAAAUAUUAUAGAGUAAUUACUAACUAAAAUCUAUCACAAUUAGAUGAAGAUAAUAAGUAUAUAUCUAUAUAAGCAUUGUGUUAGGAUAUUUAACAAAUGAGAGGUAGCUUAAGGUAAUAGUUUCGUAACAAUGGGGCUACAUUUUUUCCAUUGGAGAUUCCGCAUUAGUUCUCACGAGACACGCUAGGAAAAAAUCCUAGAAAUUCUCACUAAAAUCAAAAACAUCAAACAUCAAUCGUGUAAACUCUAAUAAUCAUAGUCAUUGGUCUAUAAUAUUUUAUAAAAGGUUACCUACCAAACAUAUUCUAAAAUAAACUCUAAUCCUAUAUCUAAAUUAUCGAGCUCUGUAAUUAUUAAAAACUAAUCUUAAGUAACCCCAUAAUCUUCAUCCAAUUUACUUAUGCAUAUCAUGAUAAAGUAUAACUUAAAAUGUUACUCUAAAUUUGUAUCUAAGUUACCCACGUAUGUUCUUAUUAAAAUAACCUAAAGUAAAUACCUAAAUCUUAAUCUAAUUAUCUUCAUGUGCAUCAUUCAAAAAAGUCCAAAAGUAAACAUGAUGAGUGUCAUUGUUAAUAUAGAAAUAUUAAGUUAAGGUAUAUACGCACGAUGAGUGUCACCAUGUAGACAAUCUUUACAUGUAUGUGGAGAUGCGAUACAAAAUGAACAAAAAAGUGUGAAUGUAGAUAAAAAGUGUAUAGAGUAAUUAAUAAUUAAAAAUAAUGAUAAGACAAAGAUAAGUAUACAUGUAUAUAAGAGUUAUGUUGAAAUAUUGAAAAAACUAAGAGAGUAGUAGGUAAACAAUUUCGAUUAUUAAUUAGGAGCUCAAUUUUUAAAUAAUUUUCAAAUAUGAUAAUUUUUUUAAAAUAUUAUCCCGUGCAGGAGCACGGGUUGAUGGACUAGGACAACUAAGGCUGAUCACUAGAUAUUUCUCCAAUUGAAACGGUGUUCAACAUCUGCAAAACCCUGCAAAGCACGGCAUUGUACAGACUAUUUUUAUCCAGAUUGGAUACAAAUUGACUUGACCAGCUCGCUACCCUAUCAAAGAUAACCUAUGAACGAAUCAUGCACACACACAUACAUUCUGGAAGCGCCAUCAUCACAAAGGUCCAAAUCGGAUCUGGAAUCGAAAAUCCAGCACCGUAGACCAUUCCUCGAGCUGAAUUUUAUCAUCAUCGAAACCACACGAGACGUCGCACAUCAGCCUGGAAUAUCUCUGUCCGGUUCUGAUGAAAAGUACUUUGGGAUUCGAGGCUGGACACGCCGCUACAAUCUUUGUCCAGCUCAGACGGCGACGCCGGCGCUGGGAGAGAAGAUGGAAACUGAAAAGUGGCAGUAACUGGCGAGUUUGACGGACUCAGGGUCUUCGCCCAACGGCGGUCAAGCUGAGAUAAGGUGUCUCAAUACGAGUGUGUGGAUGAUAACGGUGACGUAAAACUGCUUUUUAAACCCCUGGGGCCUCAGCCAGUUGAGCAUCCAGCUCAUAAUUCCAGUUCAAACACCCACUAGCAAGCAAAUAGAAGCAGAUUAGAAAGGCUGACGCACAGCAGAGGUACCAUACUCUCUCCCUCCCUUCCCUCCCUCCUGAUGGUUUUAACUAUCCUCUUUAUGCUGUUACCUUUUUAAGAUGGUUUUAGCUAGUUACUUGCUGCAACUCUGUAUGGUUUCUCAAAACUAGUACCCCUCCGUAGGUCAUUUUAAGUUUUUUUAUUUUUAUAGAUAUUAUCUAUGAAUUAUCUAUGAACAUAAAAAAUCAAAACCAUCUAUAAUUUGAAACGAAGGGAGUACUUCUUAGAAUUAGCUCUGGUUACAGCAUGAGCUUACGCUGCGUAAUUCAUCUAGUAGUACUUUAUACGCUGCCAAGUUUAUGCUUUAAUUUUGCAGGUGACAAUUAAUAUGCUCCUCAUGCGUCACUCGAUGUUGCUGGCGAAACUCGCCGUGCUUAUCGUAUUGCCUUUUUUGCUGCUGUGUUAUGGAGUUGGCAACGUUUACUGCUCGACAAUUCAUGAGAAUAGAGAAGAUCUGCGCUCAUUGCUCGACUUUAAGAAGCGGAUCAGUUCUGAUCCAAAUGGAGCCUUGAUGAGCAAUUGGACAACCAACACCCAUUUCUGCCAGUGGAAUGGUGUUAACUGCACUUCCACACCACCAUAUCGCGUCAGAGAGCUCAUCCUCACCGGGCUAAACUUGGGUGGCGAAAUAUCCUCCUCUCUUGGAAAUCUGACCUCCCUUAAUUAUCUUGAUCUAUCCAAUAAUAGCUUUCAUGGUCCCAUACCUCUUCUUAACAAACUCCAAAACCUAGAGUACCUUUUAUUAGGAAGCAACCUUUUGCAAGGUGUUAUUCCCGACGCACUUACAAAUUGUUCUAAUUUAGUUACACUAGAUCUCUCUGGAAACAACCUCAACGGUCUCAUUCCUCCUAGAAUAAGCUUUCUUACCAAACUAGCAUAUAUCAAACUUUACAGUAAUCAUGUCACUGGGGAGAUACCAGCAUCCCUCAGAAACAUCACAAAUUUACAACUAGUCCAUUUUUCAAAAAAUCAGCUCAAUGGUAGAAUUCCCGACGAGGUUAUGCAAAUGCCAAACUUAAUGGAGUUGCACCUAAACCAAAAUAACCUAUCAGGUAGUAUUCCUGAGGUUUGGCAAAUGCCAAAUAUAUUGGUAUUAGACCUAAGCGUAAAUAACCUUUCAGGUCGAAUCCCACGAGCUCUAUCUAAUGUAUCUUCUCUUCAGGGAUUGUCCUUGGCAUCAAAUAUGCUAGGCAGUACAUUACCAUCUAACAUUGGAGAUGCUCUACCGAAUCUCACGAUUCUAUACUUGGGUGAGAACUAUUUCGAGGGUCACAUUCCAGCUUCCCUAGGAAAUCCUCCAGGUCUAGGAGUCAUAGAUCUCUCAUCGAAUUAUUUUACCGGCCAAAUCCCAAAUUCUUUGGGAAACCUUUCACAGCUGUCUUCUCUUAACCUUGAUCAAAACAUGCUUCAAUCAACAGACAAUGAAGGUUGGGAAUUCAUCCAUGCCCUGGGAAAGUGUAGAUCUCUAAAAAAACUUUCAUUGUCUAUUAAUAGGCUACAGGGAGCCAUACCAAAUUCUAUUGUAAACCUGUCCAGCACUCUUACAUAUCUGCUAAUGUCUGAAAACAAUCUAUCAGGAACAGUUCCCCCACGUAUUGGAAGAUUUAGUUCCUUAGUUCAACUAUCACUAGAUCAAAACUAUCUUACCGGUACAAUUGAAGAAUGGGUCGGAAAUAUGACAAAACUAGAACGUUUGAAUCUCCGAUCAAACAGCUUCGUCGGGAUAAUUCCACCUUCCAUUGGCCAACUUACACGGUUGACAUAUUUAUUUCUUGCUGAAAAUCAAUUCACUGGGUUUAUACCACCUAGCUUUGGAAACCUUAAAUCAUUGUCUGAGCUGCACCUUAGCUACAACAAUUUCAAAGGGGGCAUACCUAGUGAG
rnacentral:lncRNA from 1 species